rnacentral:lncRNA from 1 species
UUUUUUUUUUUUUUUUGAAAGUAACUAAUAUACACUCACACAGAAUUAAUAUUACAUGGUCCUGGUGGAAACAGCCAAGUCGUGUACUCUAUCUACAAAUAUUCUAUCGACUUUAACAAUAUAAAGCUUAUAAAGGAAAGAAGAUAACAUGAUCAUGUCCUUCAAAAUAGAGACAACUGCCAAAGGAGCGGCUGGAAUAUUAACGCAGUACAGCAGAAGUAGAAGACAACCUGUAGCAACGAUGAAAACAGAUGCAUAAUUGGGCUAUGCAAAGGAUCAUAGCUAGCUAAGUGCACUCAGACAUGCUUGAGCCUCUAUCUGAAAUGAUGAUAAAGCACAAUUUUUUUUUUUGUCAUAACGAUAAUAUUUCUAUAACUUAAUUUAUCCUAUUCUACGAGGAAGAGAUUAAAGAAAUUGUGUAAGAGGUUAACAGGUAUACAGAUUUGACUAGAUAAAAGAAAUGUAUUGACGCCUCCUUUGAAUUUUUUUCAAAGCAAGUGGAGUUUGAACCCGAUCUACAGUUCAAAGAGAGAUUUUGUCCCUUUAAAUCCCUUUUUGCUGUCCACUGAACCAAAGUUGAGUGGUUUAUAAAGUACAAAUUGACUGAGUAUGUGAAUGCAACACACAGCCUUAUUAUUACAGUAAUUAAUUAACAUGUAUAUAAACGGGGGAAUGCACUUUGUUAAAGGAGUGGUCAUCUGAUGAUAUGGCAUCAUGCCAUUGGUGGAAAUGUGUUCGUCACUCAUGUGAAACCGACGUGACUUCUUUUUUUUUUAAUUAUUCCUCUACUUUGUGUAUGACAUAGUAGGUUACACUUCUUUUUUGGUGCAGUGAACGCUGCUUCUUCUGCUUUCUUUUGAGGGGAGUUACGGAUUUUUUUGUGCUCAGGGCAACCAUCCCUCAAGUUUCCUUUGGAACCCUUUUUUCCAUUCUCUCCCAUACCGUCUCAAAAAUUAUCCCAAACUACUUCCUCCUCCAUGUCUCUUCAAUAAACCUUCAAUUAUUCUUUCCUUUUUGUGAAAGAUAAAUGGAUCUUCGACAUCUUCCUCUUCAUCCAAGCAAUUUCAUUUUUUGGUGAUUGCUUUCUGGUUCUAGAUAAUUUAAACUUUACAACAUGAAUUUCAUUCAAUUUUGAUUAAUUAGCUAAAGUAGGUCAUUUGAAUUCAUAAUAGGUACUAUUUUUGCUUGGGUAGAAUAUCUCCCCUUAAGCAUCAGCCUUUUCUCAUUGUCUUGUUGAAUGAUAGGUGAAAAAAAAUUAUUGAAAGCUGCAACCGUGAAGAAAGGUUACUUAGGAAAUGUUGAAUAACUGCUCAAUUGCUUAGCACUUCAUCUAUAGUAUUAACUAAAAAAAAUCCACAUUUAAUGAAGCAGCUUGUCAUGGCAGCGGCAUGGCAUUGAUGUAAAGCAGGAUCCUCCUAUUGAUGGUAAAUGAUCUUUACAUAUUUCGUCGGUAGAAACUCCACUGCAGCAGUUUUCAUUUUGAUUUGUGUUUGCCAAAACAAGGAAAUUGAUGACUUGAAUUAGUACAAUUAUUCUUUGUUCACUUUGAAUUAAUAUAGAUAGUAUAACCAAUGAUUUGGAUGGAAAAUGAGAAAUUGCACAACUCAUUAAUAUCCUCCAUAUGGUCAAUAUGUUUAUUUCUGCUGAGGCUUUACAUGAUGACUAAUUGGAUGUGUAAAAUUUUUCUUUAACAAUUAAGGUUGAUUGUUUUGUCUCUUGAAUAUCAAGUUUAUGAGGUGAGAUUGACUUUGACUAUUAUUUUUUUCCUCUUGAAAAUUUGAGAAAAAUGGUUGUUCUGGAUCUUUGAGUUUUAAAUACAAGUUUUAGGAAAUGAUUAGCAUUAGUGACAGGUGCCGAACCUGUGCAAUAAUAAUAAAUAAAUCCUAACUACCACCUGAAACAGUCAGUAAUCAAUUCGAGUACUGGAGCAGGGACUCUAGGUGUGCAAUGGGUUACUUGAUUCACCCUGUUCCCGAAGAGUUUGCUUAAUCCGAUAUACCUGAAUUAAUUAUUUAACUGAAUUCCCUAACUAGUAGACAGUGAUAAGCAGGGUCGUCUCCUCAGGGACUGGAGAGAUAUUUGUUUCUUUUCAAAUCAAGAUUAAUGGGGGGGAUUUUGGUAUCAAAAGCCAACUGAACAAAUUAAAUGCAGAAACUAAUUAAUUAAAAGAAAUAACUAAGAGAAACUCUAGCCAAGGGUAUACUUCAGAAAUGGUUCAUGCACUGAUCAUUGAUGCAAAAAAAAUAAUUCCAACCUUUAUUAAUAGAUUGGUUCUAGUUGUCUCGCACGCGCUAAACAACCAACCCUUCCUUAAUUUAUCGAUAGCUAAGGUACGACCGUUAGCUAUUUCUCUAACCCAAAAACAACCCUAGGUACGACCGUAGGAUUCAAUUUCUAGAUUGCAGUAAUAAUUAGAAAGGCCCAAUCCUGACUAACAAACACGCUACGAGGGUUUAUUUAAGCUAGAUCGUAUGUUCCCCUGACAUAAACCCAAUUACGCCAGUUGCUACAAAGACAGAGAUAGCGAACAAUUACGGAUUCAGUUACCUCUAUUUAGCAAAAUAGCCUAUAUGAAUAAUUAAAUAUUGCGCAUCUAUUCAAUCACUCACACAAGCUAUAGCGGUUAAAAGCAGGAAACAUGUGAAUACCAAUAAAUGCAGGAAACAAUUAAAAGCGGUUUAGAUCUCACAGUAGUGGUGAACCCAUUCGUCAGUUGUCCCCUUGACUAGAUGGAGGAUUUAGCCACGCCGCAUAAUUAAAUCACCACACGAAUUAAUAGAUUGCAAAAGCACUGCGUUUUCUAUUAAGAAGCAGGGAAUAAAAGGUGUUUUUCCCGUUGGGGAAUAUUGUCGAACACCUGGCGUGUGUCAGAGGCCAGUCCGGAGAAAAGAAAAGAGAGACUAAAGACUAGGCUAAAAAACUCAACUAAAACUAGGAAUCCCCCUUUCUUUCUGUACGUUCCCCCUUUUAGAGACAAAAGAAAGAUAGACUAAAGCUAUCUAGGUGGUCCCCACACAUGUGGACAAAACCUCCUCAAGUACUUCCUCUUCCAAGUCCACUUCCGUAGCUUUCUUUGGAGAGUCCACAUGACUUAUGGCUUUGCGGUCCCCACCAAUCCAAAGGCCCAAGGAUUGAAGUCCUUAGAAGUCUCCAUAUUCUUCAUAAAGUCCCUCUUUUUUUCGGUAGUUUGCUGCUUCCUCCUGAAAUUAAGUCCAUAUACCAAAUAUGAGUAGAUAUCAGCAAUUAACACAAUAUUUAUCAGGGAUAAAAGGGGAAAUUAAUAAUAAAAUGACUAACAAAUUACACCCUAUCAAUUAGCAGAAUAGAAAAUACUUGUUAUAUCUAAUAUGGUUCAGACCAUGCUGAGUUAAUACUUAAUAGGCAUAAUAUUAUGAGUGUCUGAUUGGGUUCCUUAAAAUGUAUUGGACCAUGCUGAUUGGAUUUCAUUCUCUGACUUUCUUCAAAAUUCUAUCAACUUUAUAAUUCUCUAUACUUCAUAAAUUUCUUAUGUGAGUCUCUUCUUGUUUCUCUUGAAGUCUCAUUAUGGCAUUUGCUUAUGUAGUUGUAUUUUUUACUUGUAGUUGUAUUGUUCAAUAUUGGCUAUUUGUUUUAGAAUGAAAAUUCAAACUACUUGGCAACUUUGUGGUCUACGUUGCAUCAAUUUUUUUGGAACUGAAAAGAAUGCUGUUAUAUAUUUUCUUUUUACUAAAAAAGAAAAUAAUAAGAUACCGAGAUUUUCUGAAUUUGAGGAAUUCUGGCUAAAACGUUUUGCAAUGUGGUUUGAGGCUAUAAAUAUUAGCCAACAUGCAGUGUAAAAGAAAAUUAUGUGAUAUCCUAUUAUUGUUUUUGAGUUGCUUACGAGGUUUAUAGUUUGCUCUAGACAGAUCUUUUCUUUUCUUUUUUUUCCAAUGUUUUCUUCCCUUCUAUUUCAUUCUUUCUUCUGUUGCUAUCUUUCUUCCUCCUGUGAAUAUCAAUCAUAUUUUCUCUCCUUACCAUGAAAAGUUUCUUCUGUAUUUUGUUUUAGUGAAUUGUUCUAAUUUUUUCUUUUCCUUGGACUAAAAGCAUCAAAGUUAAGUUGAAAAUUUUUAGAAGCUUUCAUUUAUCCUGCUUUCUUGAGAAAUUUUUUUUGAUUCUUUUGCUUUCCUAUAUGGAAGACAUGCCAAGUUGGAUUUUGGAACACAUGUUUGCACUUGAAUUUUAUCAACUUUUAGUUAUGCAUAAUGUCAAAACUGAAAGUAAAUUUUGUUUGGAAACCAUUGACCAAUUUUUUGCAUGUGGCAAACGUCCAUUUUCAUUUAGCAGUUUAAGCUUGCAUCUUUUGAAACAACUAAGUGAUUGUUGCAUGGUGGUCAUGGGGUUGUUCCAAAUGAUAGGUGUGAGAUUCACUUUACAUGAAGUGAAUGACAUGUUGCUAGUCAUCUGUGCUCUCACCAAUGGAGGGUAUAUAUAAAUCCACUUGAUUGAUCUUUUUCUUACAUGGCCAACAUGUUCCUUCCUUUUCUUAGUUGUUCUAGCUAAAGUAGUAGCACUAGUUUUAGUAAAAAAGUUUAGGUAUCAGAACUCACUGGCUCACAAUCUUCCUAUUCAGAUCCGAGAGUUAAAGCAAAGAAGCUAGGACUACUAGCUGAGCCAUAUUUGGAGGGAAUGCAAUCAAUGUGCAAAUUGGUUGGUCAAAUGCAGCAUAUGAUCCAUCAGGACUAUAAGUUCCCUGAUGAUAUUCCAGCAAAGAUGCAAGAUUUGUUAGGAGCAAAUGUGUUAGGAGUUGCAUAUCUUCAUUUUGUUUCUAUUUAAGAGGUUAUGAUCUCUUCCAAUGUACCAAAAAAAAAAGAAAAAAUAAAGAGGUUCCAUUACAGAAUAUAUAUAAGGCUUCUUGCAGGAAUUUUUGUUUUUUCCUUUUGAUUGGUCAUAUCCCAUAAUGUUGUAAAACUUCUCUGACAGCAAAAGUGUAUAGGAAUUCUAAGGUUGCUUUCCUCAAAACUCAAUGACAGGAAUAUGUUAAGAAUGAGUUUGGAAUUAUAUUAAGUAAUGCAAAUUAGUUAAUGUAGCUACUUUUUAAGUAUGAGAUUUCAUUUAUAAAUAUAGAGGACACCACAACAUAACUUGUAUGGCGGGCCAAUGGUCAGUUGUAUAUGUCCUAAUCAUAUCUUUAUUAUGUCCUAUUAUAUUUUUUAAAGGUAUGGUAUUAUAAUUAUCAUCUCUUGGACUUUAUAUUUUUACAAUUUUGAACUAAUUAUAUACUUCCUAAGAACACAAUUCUAAAUAUUUUGUUUAUCAUUCACAUAUGCUACUGUUAUACUCCCUCCGUCCCGAAAUGAAUGUCGCACUUCGGGUCUUGAGUUUCUUUUCAACAGUGUCGCAUUUUGGUCUAAGUUCCAGCGCUACCCCUUCCGUGCAUUACUCCAUUGAGUGGCAGAAAGAAAAAGCAAGGAUGACAAGAUGUGUGAGACCCAUACUUUACAAAUGUGUCCAGCCAUUUUUUUGAGAAAGUAGCUUGCACGGCCAUUGUUUGCAUUUGCGGUGAGACUCACGCAUAUUAGAGCAACUCUUGUAGUUUUAUGGGACCCAUCAAAAACUUAAAAGGAAUCUGGUAUAUUUAAGGGCAUGAGAUGGAAAUGAGGGAAAGUUUUAUGGCCAAUUAUAGUAAGUGACAUUAAUUUUGGGACAGACCAAAAAGGAAAACAUGACACUUUCAAUGAGACGGAGGGAGUAAUAAUUUACAAAUUAAGUAGGUAUAAUUGGACAUUUAUCCACCGUGCAUUUGCAUGGUGAAUCCCGCCUAGUAUGUCCUAAACGACCCAAGCAAUGCUACCUUUAGUAUGAAUAGAUUUAGGAUCAAAGGAUGAGAGUCAUCAGGAAUGUUAUUACCUACCUGGAAAAAGAGAUAUAUGUUUUUAUUACUUCCAACAAAGCAUGGCACCCUGGAGAUAUUUACUCCAAACGUCUUUCAGUCUUCGUCCAGGAAUAGGGCUGCAAACAAAUUUCAAAUUCGAGUGGCUUGAAUAUGAGCUCGACUCGAUCUCGAUCAACAUUGAGCUCGAACUUACCAAGUCAAACUCAAGCUCAAAAAUACUAAACUCGUUAGCUCGCGAGUCGGUUUGAACUCGAUUAUAUAUAUGUAGAUAUAUAUUAUUUUAAUAGUAAAAUUACAUAUAUAUAUAUAUAUAUAUAUUAAAAUAAUAUAUAUCUACAUAUAUAUAUUUCUGAUAUUUUAUUAUUUGUUAAGAAAAAUUAUUAUUUUAUUUAUUUUUUAAAAAUAAAAUAAUUUUUUAAAUUUUUUUAAAUUCAAACUCGACUCGAAUUUGAGUUGAGCUUGAGCUCAAACUUUACAUUUUGAAUUCAUAAUUCGAGUUGAGCUUGAGCUCAAACUUUAUAUUUUGAAUUCGUCGAAUUUGAGUUCGAGUUCAAACUUUAUAAACCUAGGUUGAGGCUUGGCUCAAUUAGGUUAAAAUUCGAUUCGAUUUAACUCGUUUGCAUCCUAUUCAGGAACUAUAAGAAUAGGUCAUAUGAUAUGACGAAUGUAAAAUUGCAUUACCAUCCCAUUGAAAUGACGAAUUUAUGAUGAUCCCAUUGAUAUGGAUUUAUAGGAUUCAUUUUAUUAGUCAACACAAUAAUACAAAUAACAUAUUAAUUAUUUAUGACAUCACCGGUCAAUAACACUUCAAAACGAUUAGCCAGACGAUUAAACCAAUAAUCCCUAACCUAAAAGGAUUUUUAAUUUAAUGAAUGGGUUGGGUUUUAGAACCUUAUUUUAAUCCUAUAUUAACACUUCACACAUGUAAACAAGUGAUAUGUGAUUAAUGUCUGAUAAUCAAUAGACAUGCUUGCCAACAAUGCCUACCAAGGCCACUCACUCGUUAAGACCAACAUUGCCAUUUCUUUCAAAGAGUAUCACCCUCUUACUUGUCUAUAAAUACCUUACGAUGAAAAUCAAAACUACUAACUAAUAACCAUCCAUUAGCAUAUAUAACACUCUUGUCUUAUCUACCUACUUUAUUUUUGUGGACUUGAGCAUCGAAAUGACCCAGGAUAUACUACUCCAUUUUGCAGUCUCCUAGCUUUUUGUCUUGUUCUUCUAUUUGAGAAGGGUCUGUUCCAAUCAACCCUUGUCAGUAGGAAUGGAGGGAAAGGAAUUUGGAAAGAAACUGAAACUCAAACACGCUAAAGUUUUAACAUUUUGGAGCAUAGUACCAAGUUAAAAAAUAGCAAAAAAAUCUGUAUUAUUUACUGCAGUUGUCUUUGGAUUUGAAUUGCCACGUGAUUCACUAUAAAAGAAAAUAGUUGAAUGGAUAGUUUUCCAAAAUAGAGAAGAGUUUCCUUUAGAAUUCAAAGUAACAAAGAUAUAUGUUGAAAAAGUACGUUAACACUUAUUGUGAUAUGAUGAAUAUAAGAUAAAACAGUGAUUAGAAAGAUAAAAAAAUGGUUGAAAAUGUGUUUAUGAUAGAAUCAAAAAAAUUUGUAAACAAAGCUUUAUCCAAACACACUCAUUAUCAUCAGUAAAUAAUUUAACCUUUAGGUGAUAUACUUCUUUGGCAGUUACAAAUCUGGAAUCUUGAAAGGAUAUAAAAUCCUACCAAAAAAAAAGGAAAGAAAGGAUAAUAUGACUAUAUCUAGCUCUAUGGCCUUAAACUUAUGUGAAGACAAGAUUUUGUGCAACUUUGUGAGGAUUUUAGCAAUAUGCCGAAUAAGACAAAUUUAGAAGCUUUCCUCCAUUACUAAGGCUAAAAUUUUCAAGGAAAACCAAUGACUAAAGCUUUGUCAAAAAUCUCAAGUUUGUUCUAUGAAGUUCUUAAAUUUCACAUUCCAUACACAUGCUAAUUAUUUAGGAAAGAAUUAGAGUUCUUAUUAGGGAUUCCCAUGCAUUCCACCAACAAUUCCAUUCGGAUAGCAAAUUUUGAACAUAGUUUUUUCAAAUAAUUUCUAAAAAUAAUUUUAAAAAAACCUUUUUCAUUCUUUCAAUCACCUUUUAACGGAUCCUCUUUAGUGUGUAUAGUAGUAUUUACCAUGAAAAUGGUAUUACAUUGACUAAACCAGAACGAAAUGUAUUGAUUGGUUGCAUCAAUUUGAUACACAUUAAGGUUGCUGAAGGAGCCCAUUAGAGGGGUUGGGAAUUCAAGGUCAGUUCACUUCGUGCAUGAUUAGCUGAGUGGGGCUGAUUAGCAUAAAAUAAACAAGGUAUGCAAGGAAUAAUAAAGAAAGCUUGCCUGUUAAGAAGAGGGGGCGUGAAAAUAAAUAUAGAAAAAUUACUAGAUUCAUCAAUUUGAAUAAUGUAUUGUCAUUCGUUAUUCUGAAAUAUUAUCAUUUUCUUCACUGUCAAUAAUGUUUCAAAUUUUCAACUUGAUAAAAAUUAGCUAAUUUUUUAAUCUAUAUUGAACUGGUUCUACUCUUUUAUCAUGACAUAUUGAUUUCUCUUAUUUUAGGAAAAAAAAAUGAAUGAAUUAGUAUAUUUUCUUUCUACAAUGUUGCUAAAUGCAAAACAUAAAGAAUUCUUAUGUAGCUAUGUACAUAUGCAACUCUAAAUCUUAACGAAUUAUUCUUUGAUUCAAACAAGAAAUUUGGAAUUCCAUAUGUACCAUGCAUUUGUCAAGCUAAGGAAUUCCAAUUAGAUUGGAGGUUACAAUUUAAUAUAUUUUUUGAAUUAGCCAAUUUCACUAUUUAUUCACUUUUUCAUCAGAAUACAAUAGUGCUAGUAAGGAAAUAUGUUCAUGUUAAAAUGAAAAUAGUAUUUUUUUAAUCCUCCUAUCCUUUCCCGCAUCCUUUCAACCCCCAAUUGCUAAGUAUAAGAAUCGAAUUCUAAAUCUAACGAUGGAAUAGAUUUUAACAGCCUUUCCCUUGAAAUGGUAUAAUUUGAAAAUGAAAAUAGUAUAAUAUUCAUUAGAGACAUAUAUACAUGGAGGUACAAACAACCAAUUACAUGUAUCUCUGAUGCCUUAAUCUUGUUUGUUUUAGAUUUUGUAAAAUUUGAUUAUUUAAAUUACUUAUAACAUGAUGAGACAUGUAUACCAACUUGCUAAUAAGUACUUCAACAAAUUGUGCAAAUGUCAUUAAACUAUUGCAAUGUGUCGCUUUUGGUCACUAAACUUUUUUAUUAGCCAAAAAUGUCACUGAACUAAUAAAUUUGUACCGUUUAGAUCACUCUAUCUAUUUAUGCCAUUAAGAGAGACGGAAAGUAACUUUUUAAGGGGUAAUUUGGUCUAAAAUGAAACUAACUUGCAUACAAUACUUUCAAAUGAGAUACAAAAUUGCUUAAUCCAUAUUUUGAAAUUGCAAUACAAUGACAAGGUUAGGGGUGUUUUUGAGGAUUUAUUUUAGGAUAAUUUUUGAAAAUAAAAUAAACACCACCACCCCAACCACCGCCACUGCCCCUUCCCCCUCUCUUCUCCCUCCCUUUCUUUCUCUGCUUUCUUCCUAAUCAACGCCUCCCAAUUAUUGAUCAAACGGCCAAAAAUUAUCAACGGCUCGUCACAAAGGAAGUACAAGAAAAGCCAAGAUGGCAUUAUUACUAUACAUACAAGUAGCGAGAUUAGGUGCCAAAGCUAGCCGAGGAAGAGAAUCAAGAGCUCUAGAAUGGCUUAGUUCGUCCUAAGCCAUGUUCAUUUUGAUUUGGGCCAAUGCUUUAUGGAAAUUCAUGGGAAGUCAAAUUGAGUGGAAGUUGAACAUCUCCAACCAUGGGCGUCAAGUGCCGAGGCCUUCCUUGAUUUGCUCUUUAGCACGUGUGAUGUACUCGAAACUAGUGCCUCUGCAACCGAAUGGCAUUGGGAUUGUUCCAUAUAUUGUCGUUCUCCGGCGAGUUUGGAUUGGAGGUUGCAGUUGGAGCUCUGGUUAAGAUCAAAAAUGGGAGGGAAAGGGGGAUUCCAGUAGGAGAGGACAAAAGAGAUGAGAAGGGGAAGGGAAGAGGGAGGAAGAGAGAGAAGGGGAGGGAAGGAAGAGGGAGGAGGAGGAAGAAGAAAGAAAAAGGGAGAGGGAGUAGAGUGGAAGAGGGGGUGAUUGCGGUGGGUGGUAACGUUGGUAGGUGGUGGGUGGUUGUGGGUGAAAGAAGAAUGAGGGUAUAAAAUUUUCAAUGGCUGUACAAACGAAAUUAUUCCUCAAAAAGUUAAAUUCCAUCCCUUCUAAUGGCAUAACUAGACGGAGUGACCUAAAUGGUACAGAUUUACUAGUUUACUGAUAUUUUUGGCUAAUAAAAAAGUUUAGUGACCAAAAAUGACACAUUACAAUUUUUUAGUGACAUUUUGUGCAAUUUGCUCUAAGUGAUAAAUACAAAAUAACUAGAAUACUAAAUCCAAUAUUUGACAUUCAAGUUCCCAAAAAUUUUACAACAUGUGCUUUUCUCUUAUUCCUAAUCAUUUAUGGGUUAUAGGUAAAGUGCAUUGUAGUCUACUAACUUUUCCAAAUUCUCAUCGAAACCAUUAAAUUGUUUUUUGUGUCAAUCAACCCGCUAAACUGUUGAACAGAUUUAAUAAGCCAAUCUAUCAUAUUGUCUGGUUAAGUUAGAUGGAAUUAUAUUCACAUGAGAGUUAUGUACACUUUCCCAAGGCAAAAAUGAUAUUUCUUCCCACUCACCCUUACAAUUGAUAAAAAAAAAAAAAAAAAUCUAGGCUGGAUUUAGAGAGAAAGAAAUGAGUUAGGCUAAUGGGAUUGAGGAAUAGUGAACGAUUACAGGAAUGUGUGAGAAAAAUAUAUCAUUUUUGCCCCUAGAAAGUGCACAUGUCUCUCACGUGAAUACAAUGUCAUCUAACCUAAUAGGCAAUUUGAUUGAUUGAAACUUUUUCAAAAGUUUAGUGGACUAAUUGACACAAAAAAGAGUUCAAUGGUUUUUGUGAGAAUUUGGAAAAGUUUGAUGGGCUAAUUGACAUAGAAAAAAGCUUAAUGAUUUUAGUGAGAAUCCAGAAAAGUUUGAUGGGCUACACUGCUACAGUGCUCUUCACCCAUCAUUUAUAUAUCGUUCAGCCCCUCUCCUAUCAUCCGAACUUUUCUUUAUUUUCCGUAAUCUUGCAUUAGACCAUUAGUGCUCCUACGCGUGUUCUCUCAGCAACAAGUUCAGUGUGUCUCUUUUUCCUUAGUCGGACACUAUACCAUAUAGCCAUUUCCAUCUUUUCAAUAUUCUUUGUGUUUGGAUAGAAAAUUAUUUGGGAUAAUUUUUUUGAAAAAAAUAACUUUUUUAGAUGUAAUAUGUGUGAGAUAAAAAAAGUAGUUAAAAAAUAUAUUGAUAAUGCAAGUAAAUGAGUGUGUAUAAAUAAGAUGUAAACCAAACAACAACUCUGUCCUUAUACCAACACCCGUAUGUGUUAAAACCACCAUCAAUACCCUAUUUCCUUACGUGUCAUUUCUCCAUUGGUCUGCCAAACCUUUACCAUAAAAUGGUAAACCACAUAUUUCCUUCAUUCCAAUUAUUUGGUUCGAAAAUCCAAUUUUUUAAAAAUAGUGGUUUGAUUGUGAUAUUUGAAUGUCUCUUUUUAAUUUUAUCCCCACAAAUUUAAAAUUUGAAUUUGAAUGCUAACAUGCAUAUAAUUAGAGGGAGGGGUUAGAUUAGAAAGAAAAACUAAAAAAAUGUUUUGACGUUCUCAACAAGACAAAUAUUUUCGGAUAUCCCAGAAUCGAAAGUAUGAUACUUUUAAUGAGAUAGAUGGAGUAUUAGACAAAAUCGCUCCUUUUAAUCUUAUAUACUUCACGUCCAAAAAAGUGUGUUUGGGUACGAGUUUAUUUGAAAUAUUAUUUAAAAUAAUUAAUAUAAUAUUUUUUGUGAAGUGAUGUAUGUGAAAUAAAAUAGUGAUUGGAAGGAUGAUAAUACUUUUUGUGGUAUGAUAUAUAUGAAAUAAAAAAGUGAUUAGAAAAAUAAAAAGAUGUGUUAAAAAUAUGUUUGUGAUGCAAGUAGUGCAAUUGUGCAAAAUUGCAAAUGUCUAUCCAAACAUGAAGAAAAAUAAUUUACAAAAUUCAAGACCCAUUCUAAAAUAUGCAACCCAAGUGAAAAAGAGAAUGAAGAAAUAAAAAAUAAGGAAAAGGCAAUUUUGUCAUUUCACCAACCUCUUUAAAACCCCCUCCUUUAUUCGAAAAGCUUCUCCGAGAAGGCGCGGGGUUUUUCAGUAUACUUGUUCACUUCUUCUGGUCGACUCCACGCACGACCGGAACUUCUCUCUACGUCGUCGUUUCCUUCCUUCCGCCGGAAAACAUCACCGGACAGCCAUGGACCUCGACCCUGAAGACGUAUUUCGAGACGACGAAGACGACCCUGAAAGCGAAUUCCAUCAGGUUCUCUUUUUUCCCCAUCUUCUAAUCCAAUAUUCUUUAAAUUUUCAAAUAUAAACUAGCAAAAACGAAAAAUCAAAUUUUUCUCAGGGAAGAGAUUCUACUAAAGAACUAGUGGUUUACCUGGUCGAUGCUUCCCCGAAAAUGUUCUCAACUUCUUGCCCAUCAGUAAGUCCCCUUCGUUUCUUUUUUUAUGUGCAUAUUAAUUUGUUUUAGUUGUUUAUGGAUUCUGGAAAUUGGGUUUUUUAUAUGAACAAUAUUAGUUGAGAUUUUAUAGUUUUAGUUGAAAAGGGAAUAAUGUCAUAGAGGCUUGGAUGUUAAUAACUUAAAAUAAUGUCAAAGGGGUUGCUGUAUUUUUGCAUAAUUUUGGUUAAAUUGAGCAGCAUUUUGGUAUAAAUGGCGAAUAAGCUCAUAUUGAAUGUUCCUAUUAGGCAAAAUUUUGUAGAAAUGGCACGCUUUUUGGACCCUUAAUUUGUAAAAUGGUUGCGACAUUGGGAUUUUUUGUUCUAACGAGCAUGUGUUGUGGUUGUUUAUGUGAAAAGUACAUUUUUUUAGUACAUUUGGCAGUAUAUUUCACGUAAAUGUACUAUUUCACUACCAAGUUAUGAACGGUACUUCAUUUAUUCACUGUAAGAGGCAGUUGUAGCAACUGUUUUACAGAAUGUUUACUUGAUGGUAGUGCAUUUAGUAUUCAGUAGUACGUUCAUAGAAAAAUACUAUAUCACCACUGAGGCAUGGAUUGAAUUCCAUAAAUAUGAUAUCCAGUUAUUGUGGCGUUAAAAAUCAGUACAAAUGCCCUUGAUAAUUGACAGCAUAAAAUUUUGCCAUCUUUCUGAAUAAGACAUCUUCAGUCUCCUUUUUCAUAAGUUUUCCCAUAUUGGAGCAUGUUGGAGGGAUUACUGUGAAGUACAGAGUGAAAGCAAUAUUUAUGGACUUUACUUAAGAUUAUCGAGUGCUGAAAAAUCUUUAGGAAUUUUGCUUAAUAAUCUAUUGACCCAAAUUACUUAAGAUUGUCUUUAUGACUUUUGCUUAAUAAUCUUCAUACUUAAUUUUUUACUGCAAAGAAAUUUUUUGUAACUAGCACAUUUCACUUGGUUGAGUGAUCCAUAAGUUUUUUUUACAAGUAAUUCAAGUUUUUCUUUUUUGUUUUUAAUCUAGUUGUGAACCUAUUAUUCCCUUCCUCUACUGAGUAUUCCAAAGAAGUUUUUGAGUAAGGCAUCAUAGAAUUCAUUAAUCAAGAAAAUUUCAGGGGGUGUUUGGUUGGAGGGUAUAGGAAUCAAGAAUUGGAUUGAGUCCCAAAAUUGUUGCUUGGCUAAUGGGUAUGGGUUUUGAAAUCUUGGAAUGAAUCAUGAAAAAUCAGCCGCUCUCAAUACCCAACUAGAUUAAAGGGUUUUGAUGAAUCCCACAUUUGAUUCCAAAAUCUUUAAAAAAAAAAAAAACCCAUGCAAGGGGCACACAGCCUGCACCAUAGAACACAGGUGCCGAUCCAAUGCGCCAAGGUAUGAUGGAGUGCCUAAAGCACUGGCAACAAAUAAGAAAGCUGUGAACAUGGCACCAAUAUGAGCAGCCCCACUAGCAAAGAAGUAGUGAGAAUAGAAGUAGAGAAGAACAAGAAUGCCGAAAGAAAGCUGCCAAGACAAACCCAAUCCACCGAAAAACUGCAAGAAAGCAUAUAAAUUAACAACCCAUAAAUGUUGGAUGCAAUUGAAGGAAGGUCAGUUUCCUAACAAUGGUGGGGAUUUGGCAAAAUCAAAUCCAAAUCUGCUUCCUCGUUGCGUCUGGGACUGUUGCUUCUGAAGCUCCAUUGUCUUUACCAAAAAUUGAAUAUGGAUACUAAUUGGUGAUGGUUAGGUGCUGGUUUAAUGGGUGUUGUCAUGGUUGGGUGCUAGUUCAAUGGGAUUAUGGUGGAUGUGUAUGUGGGAUAAGCAUUCGAAUGAGGAAGAAGAAAGAUAUGAAAAGAAAAAAGAAAUUAAAGGUAAAAAAUUGAUUAUUAAAUUUGAUACCCAUUCCUUACCAAUAUUUACCAAGCACCCGCAUUUGUAAUCAUAUCUUUGUCCAAAACCCAUACUAAGUUUUUUUGUAUGAUUCCAAUUACAAUUCCAAUUCCUAUGCUGGAACCAAGCGCCCACUCAACCCAACAGAUAUAAUGAAACUUUUGAUCAUGCUUUUAUGUUGGAAAGCAGAAAAUGACCUAUUAUUGAAGAAAGAGAUGCAAGGUGUGUGAGGAAGCUAGACAUGGCUGUUUACCUGGCUAAAUUAAAGGAAGAAAUCACUAAAAAGCUCAAUUGGUUGAAAGAAGAAAGAUUCACCUGUUUUGUGCGAAUGGCCUUAGGAAUGGCUCUUAGUAGCAAUUGUCUUUCAUCAUCAAUUACCUUGAGAAUAAAUUGAUGGAAGAUUUUUCAAACAUGAAGAAAAGAGUAGAUUUCUUGUUCUGUAGUAGUGUAGAUUAUUAGUGGUCCUCUUCAAUUACUGAAGUCAAGUACUACAUCUGUUAACCCUUAGCGAUGGCUCCACCAUACUUUUGAAUUGGAACAUUCUUGGUUAGUUUAUUCAGUUGACAUUGAGGACAUCCAGAAAGACAUUUUGGAAUCAGCCAUCUUUUGUUUCAUUUUCCUUUGUUUCUAGAGAUCUAUACAAAGUGGGAAUCUGGCUGUAUUGACUGCAUCUUAUUUUUUUGGGAAUCUUUCAGUGCAAUAGUUGAUAUAAUAAUGCAUUGAACAGUGAAAAUGUAAUUGAAAAGAUUGUUGUAUAUUAAAGAACGUUUGAUUUCAAAAGUUAAACUAUCAUCUUGUGUGUUGGCCAAAGUGACAAAGUUACGUUGAGCCCUCGAAUAUGUUCAAAGAUCUCGAAAUAAUCUUCCAGUUCCAGGGAGAAUUAGCUAAACUUCAUUUCCAUUGAGAAUUUAAUGGAGUUUUCCUGUAUUUCAACAAAAUAAUCUAACGUGGACGGUACUUUUGGAGAUUCUGACCAAAAAAAAUUAGACAUUCCAUGCCCUCAGAGAGUGGUUUGUUGUGCUAGGUCAUUGACAUUAUUGUUUUUUAUCUUUUAUAUAACAGGUUUUUAUCAUGUGUUUCAGGAGGAUGCAAAGGAUGGAUCGCUUUUUCACGCUGCUAUGAGUUGCAUUUUGGAAUCACUGAAGACUCAGAUCAUUAAUAGAUCUUAUGAUGAAGUCGCAAUAUGUUUCUUCAAUACUGUAAGGAUUUUAUCUCUGUAGUUUUUGUCUUUGUCCAUGAAUCAAAUUUGUUAUUUCAGCUUUUAUAUUUAGAUAUAUGUCUGAAGCAGUAAUUGACUAUCAUUUAUUUGGACUUUGGGGAACAAGCUUUGCAGCUCUUGUAUCUCUAGUUUCUUUAGCAGUGUUCCUUGAAUCAAAUAAUUAAUAUGACAUGGUUUUUUAAAGAAAAAUCUAUAUGACUUUGAAAAGUCAGAUUAACCUACAUCUAUUUGGAUAUUUUUGAAUUUAACACCCUGUUGGGUUUGAGCUUGAUGGCUUCAUGUUCUACCAUCUUAUAUUACCAAGUUCCCUGUGUUGUCUUUCUGCAAAGUUAAUGGUGCUUAACUGCUCAAAAAAAUUGAUAAGGAGGAGAAAAUUGGUGUAGGAAGAUUGUCAUUUGCUACAAAUCCAUCACUCCAUCAGGGUGCAAAAAACUAAAAGUGGAAGUUGGUAGCAGAACAGAGAACACAACAUUUUGAAGGAAGUUAGUUUCUAGGUUGUUGGAGAGCCCAAGAGAGCUGGUAGAUAUUUUAAGAUAAUGGCUGUGAUAAAAACAGCUGUCUGCAGUACCUAAAAUAGGUACUUUUGGGGCUCCAAAUACAUUAUGGUCCUAAAGUGGCAAAAGGCCAAAAUACCCUCACUCAGGCACAUGCCUAGAAUAUGUGCACCUGCCAAACAAUUUCAGAAACUACAAAAAAAUGUUGGCAACAAAGUAUAAUCAACUGAACAACAACAAAAUCUAAGUUCUAACAUGCUUCUGCAUCACAUUGUUGGAAUUGUCUAUGCCUCUAUGGUGGUUUAUUUGAGUUGAAGAAGGAUAGUGGUCUAGCUUGUUUAAAGGACCUUGGUACAGGAGAGUUGUUGAAUAUGGAGAUAGUAAACUACUUUAGUGUUGCUGUGUUGGAGUUGUUGAAGGAAUUGGAAGGAUUUUAAGAAGAAACUUCAGCAACUUUUCAUUAGAGCAUUUGGCUGUAAAGACAGUUGGUAAAACGCAUUGUUAGAUAUACUAAAUUUGACCUGAGGUAAGAUUGCCCGGUGGCUGAUCCAUGCCUAAACAUGGUACAGAGUUCCCUAUCAGCUGAACUUUUAAGGUGAACGUGUUAAAGAGUCAGAAAUUGGAUCAAGUGAAGAGAUCUGCUGGUUGCUUGAAUUUUACUUUACUAGUUUUCUAAUAUUGAAAGAAGUAUGGGAGAUAUUUAGAUUUGAACUAUGAGAGGAAAAGGCAUUUUGGUCAAAUCCUUUGAUCCUACUCUCAGGGAAUAUGCAGAAGAAAGAAUUUCUUGAGGAAAGUACUGCCUCUUAUGUCCCAUCAAAUGUUUCCCCUUUUCAAGCGGUGAAGGAAGUAUACUAGCUUGGAAAGAAAAGGAAGUCUGAAAUCUGGGAGAUGUGUUUUUUUGCUUGUUUUUUUCACAAACUUAAGAGGUGGGGUUCAGUUUCUCAAUGUUAUGAGUUCUGGGGAUUAGCUAUCUUACUCCUAAUUCUUUGUGACAUUAUUAUGCAACAUUUGGUUGGGUUUUUAACAUAAUUGACAGAAUUUCUUUAUCUAUAAUACAUGCAGUUUUCCUAGUAGAAGUAUAAGUACUGUUGGGAUUUGUUCUAAAAAUUUUUUCGUAUAUAUAUUAUUUUAUGAUGGUGCGGCUUACCUAGGUGUCAUGCCAGGAUAGGUGAUCUUGGGAUUAUAUAUUCUAUAGUUCCAUGUCCAAAAACAAAGUAAAGAUGGGCAGGACACGUUGAUUAAUUCAAUAUGGUGGAGUGCUCUGAACCAAAGAAGCCCUUUAUGCAAAUUGUGGACAGUUUACCUAUAAAGAAAGAACAUGUUCUUGGAGGGUAUUGGAAUUUCUGUUAGACAAUUGAAACAUCCUAUGAGUACCUGAGCUUUGGACACACAGAAUGGUAUCCAAGUGGGAGUCAAUCUUUUGACUGAAUUAAUUUGUCUGAAUUUCUGCAUAAGCAGCUUGUGUUUAGUUUCUUGUCCAGGCACUUAUACUGCAUCUUUCAUCUUUUAUUUGUGAAUCAGAGAGAGAAAAAGAAUUUGCAGGAUUUGAAUGGUGUUUAUGUAUUUAAUGUUGCUGAAAGGGAGGAUUUAGACAGGCCAACAGCAAGGCUUAUCAAAGAAUUUGAGUGCAUAGAAGGUAAAGUAAUUACAAAUUGUCAAGCAUGAUACUUACCUUCUUCUCCUCUUUCCCAUAUUCUACAUGCAACUUAUUAAUCUUGGGAAUGCCUUUUGAAUCAGUUAAAUGGUAUGGUAAUAGUACCCGUGCCUGUUUGCAGAAAAAUUUGAUAAUGACAUUGGCAGCAAAUAUGGUAUCUUGUCUGGUUCUCGUGAUAAUUCUCUCUAUAGUGCUCUUUGGGUUGCUCAAGCUCUACUCCGCAAAGGGUAUCCCUUUUCUUUCUCAUUUCUCAUCUUUUCUCUCAGAAGACUAUUGAGACACCAACACUAUCUAGCUAUUUGGUUUUCAGUGAUCAUGUUGACUGAAUUCCUACAGAUCUGCAAAAACAGCCGACAAAAGAAUGCUUCUGCUUACCAAUGAAGAUGAUCCUUUCGGCAGUAUCAAGGGAAUUACAAAAAUGGAUAUGAUGCGAACAACACUUCAACGAGCAAAAGUAAAGACAGGAUACAUAUAUGCAUAUGUGUUUUUGCAAUAAUCAGAUGAUUAGUUGUGAACGAUAAACAUACAGUUUGUUUUCUUCAUUCACGGAUUUUUAUUGGUAAGACUUAGAUUGCUCCUUCUCUGUGUUUUUCUCAGGAUGCUCAAGAUCUUGGUAUUUCCAUUGAACUACUCCCACUGAGUAGGCGAAAUGAUGAGUUUAACGUAUCUCUCUUCUAUGCUGUAUGUAUAUGCCUACAUUUGGAGCGGUCUUAUUAAACUUCUUUUGGUGCAUUUAGAUGAAUGUCAUACAAUUUGGUAAGUUCACAGGAAUUACUUGGGCUGGAAGGUGAUGAACUUACUCAAUUUCAAGCUUUGGCUGGAGAGAGGUGAGCACUAGUAAGCUAAUUGUUGCCACAAAAGCUAACGCUGAUGUUGCAGCUCUAAACACAAUUGAUUUGUUACACACAAUUAGCUGCCCUAUGCCCAACUUUGCAACGAUUAAUGUCAAUUUGCGGCUAUGAACCGUUGAAAUUCAACAUAAACAGCUGAUGCCAAGAGAGAUCGGCAUGCUCCGAAUUUGCCUAGCUAAAUCUUGUCUACUGCAAAGCUAAAUCUUGUCUACUCUUAGGCUUACCAUAUAAUGAAAACACAAAUAAGUUUGAGGAACCAAUAUCAGGCUGAAGUUCAUCAACAUGAAGAUUGGGGAAUUAUGAAAUUCACGCUGAAUACUUUUUUGAUCCUUUUGCAAAUAUUCCCAGACCAAGAAUUUAGAAGAUUAUUUUCUGGGAUCUUGAUUUGGUACACAAUUUUCCAGUUGUCUCUCACCUGAAACAUUAAAAUACGAAACAGUUUCUGACAAGAUUCCAAACGCUGAAUAAAAAUGGAUGGAGUUGGAAAUACUCCACUGUGAUCUUUUCAUAAUCAUGAGCAUUAGACAGAUGAAUACAACUAAUGUAACUAAAGAAAUUCAACAAAUUGUUACCUGUCAAGUGUUUUUCAUCUCCUUGUUUGCUGACUGACAGCAUUCUUUUGUAACUGCUGCAUAGUUACAUUAGUUGGAAAGCAUUUUGCACUUUGGUAUUAGCCAGUAAAUUAUACCUUCUGUAUCAGAUUGAAAGACAUGAAGGAACAACUGAGGAAGCGUAUAUUCAAGAAACGUAAGAUUCGAAGAAUAAAGUUCAUAAUUGCCAAUGGUAUGUCCAUAGAUGUGGACACCUAUGCUUUGAUUCGUCCAACCAAUCCAGGUUCUCUUGUUGCAAAUAUGUAGCUUGAAAAAAAAAAGAAAUACUAUUUUCUCCUAGUGGUUGCUAAUCCAUUGUGUUUUUGGUUUUAGGGACAAUUACUUGGCUUGAUUCAGUAACCAAUCUUCCAAUAAAAGUAUGAGUUAUCUAAUUCAUUUUUACUUUGUGAUGCUGAGUAGUAUAUACUUAUUCACGAGGCAGUAAUUCCUUUUUAAGUUGUCAAGUUAUUUGUCAAACAUUGUUCCUCCCACUAUUCUCGAGAUCAGGAGUGAAAACAGUUGAAAAGGUUGAAAACAUGAAGAAAUGGUGGUAGAACAAUUCAGCUUUAUUGCUCUUUGGCUUCAUUAUGAUUAAUUGUGUGUUUGAAAGGUUUCUCCAUUCCAAACCGGAAAAAUAUAGAGCUUUUUAAAUCUGAUAGAGACUGAUUCAUCCUCAUUACCCAUCACAGGCAUCUAAUCACUUUGUACAUGUUAUGUUCACUUGCCUCAGCAUCUGUACAAAGGGACAAAGCUUGCCCUUUGAAAAUAUUCAAUCCAGUCUUUCCAAUAGUAUUGGUACUGUCUUUUUGGCUGGAGUUCCUUUUCUGCGUCUUCAAAUUGAUGGCUGGAGCAUUAAUGAGAAAUCUAAUUGUGCUGGCAAGUGGGUCGUAGUCUGAGAUUGUUUUAGUUAUUGUUCUACUUGUCAUGUGGACAACUGCUUUUCCCAUUCUAAGUAGAAGAGAAAGCUGCAUUGUCUUUUCUAGAACAUGAAUUUUUGAUAUGCAUCUUUUUUGCUUCAUAUAAAUGAACAUGUAAAGAGUCCAACAAUCUGAGAAUGAAGGAACAAUGCCAUAUUUCCUCAAAUUGCAUAUAUUUAGAAAUAUUAAGUUGGAAAAUUUUCCUCAAAAUCCAAGAAGAAAAGGAAGAAGAAAUUCCUGAGGGAGACGCCAUUUCAUCACCUAUUGGCUAAUCCAGCCUCAAAAGAGACCCUGUUAUUGCUAUUUUCAGGCGGCCACUAGUUUCCCUUUUCAGACUAUUGUAGGCAUCAUGAAAUUUCCUGUUCUGGAUGAGCCUCUAAAUGUAUCCUUCCCCCAUUGUAGAUUAUAUCAACAUAAGUAAAGACCCCGGCAACCUGUCAAACUUCCGUUGAUAUAUUGGCUGAUCUAAUAUCUUUAAUUAUCUGUUAGUGGCCUUUUUUUUUCCCUUAAAGGAGCUGUUGCUGAAGUUAAUUCAGUUAAAGUCUAGUUUCAGAAGCCAUAAAAAGGAUCUCCGCCUUCCCAAGCAUUUCUCUUUUCUUUCAUGAAAAUCCCUUCCUCGUUGAAAACUGCCUGUUCUACUAAGAAUCUUUAGAAGGAAAGGUAGAUAUUAAGGAAAAUAAAGAUCUGCUUACAUGGUUAUCUGCCUCAAACCAAAUUAAGAGAUUACGAGGUUUAUUGGGUUGUUUUCUUUCUUCCUGGCCAUUGUCAUGCAUUAUCUCCAAUCUUCUUGUUGUAUGGAAAAUUGGGGCUUCUUAUCAUGUACUUUUUUAAUGCAAUAUUACAAGUUUAAUGCUCUUAAAUAAUGAAUUUAUUGUAUUUUGUUGUCUGCCUCCAUUUGUCUCUUUAAUUCACUUUCAUUGACCUCUUUGGGCCAAGUAUUUCAUUGUUUGUGAUUUUCUUAGUAUUGACUGGUUUUUUUGGAUUAUUGACAUUUUGCAGUCUGAUAGAUCCUUCAUUUGUACGGAUACUGGUGCAUUACUACAGGAGCCUGCUCAGCGUUUUCAGUCUUACAAGAGGUGCGUCUGUUGCAUGCUACGUCAGAGCAUCUGUUGGUCUUAAUUUGCAUUGCAUUGUAAAGGAUCAUAUGAUAACUGGAAUAGCAAUUAAAGGUUCUUCAAUCGGGUGGAAAGUAUCACGAUCGUGAACACCACGACCACAGCCAAUAUUACACACAAACACACACACACACACACUCUCUCUCUCUAUCUCUCUCUCUCUCACACACUCUCUCUGCUAUCAUUGGUGUGCGUCUGGGGCAGGUGGGAGAGUCACAGUGGAUUUGGACAUUCAUUUUACGAGUGACAGCUUUCUGAUGUGCUUGUUUUUUCGGUUUUUUAGAAGUUCCUUUUUUGUAAUAAUGGCAAUCACUAAUCAGACUAAUAUUUACAGAAAAGGAGGUUAAUGUUUUGAAAUGCAUUACUUGUGUGUUCUCUUUCCGUGAAAUCGAAUCCCACAGGCACUUAUUAAACACAAUCGAAAUAUCAUUACUAUUGAUAACCUCCAUUUCCCUAACCAAGCAUGUGAUUUCUUAUGGUCAUAUGUUUAGCUGUUUGGACCACUUUUUGUCGCAGCAGGAGUCACAAAAUUUGUAAAAUAAAUAAAUAAUAAAUAAAUAUAUAUAUAUAAUACAAAAAAUAAAAGAUAAUUAAUAGUAGUGGUGGUGGUGAUGGUGGUGGUAGUCGUAGUAAUAAUAAUGGAAAAUUUGCAAGUAACUCAUUAACAGAAAAUCUAUGGGAGCAAAGAUUUGCAUCUCAAUAUUUAAGUGUAAAUUGCUAAAAGCGAAUAUAAGCUGGUGAAACUGCAUGCACAAAAAACACCCCUACUUUUGUAUAACAUCAAAUUUUGCGUGCAAUAAAGUUGCUCUCUUAAAAGAAAAAUGAAAUAGACAGAGACACAAAGUGGACUUCUCUGUUUUCGAGCUGGGUAAGCAACCACGAGUGCCGAAUGAUAGUAGUUAAUUUUUUGUUUGUUUCAACUAUAGAUGGUUCUGCUCAUUUUGAUGUAAGGAUUUCUCUUCUCUGUUUUUUUUUUUUGGGGUUCCUUUCGAGAAGGUAAUAAUAUUAUUAAGAUGCAGCAAGAAGGCACAGCAACACAUAGAUAAGUAUUUAGCUUCUUAUACAACAAUGGGCCCUAUAAAAAAAGCAACAGAUAGAUUGUUAGCCGAGUAGUGGGCAUUUAUCCAAAAGAAAAGGGUGGCCCAAAUUUGAUACAAGUCUUGUGUUGCUAUAGGUUUUUCGAUUUGUUUGGGUUGUAGUUUAUUUGUAAAUUUUUUUGGCUUACAUCAUCAAUAUAUUUUCAACCAUCUUUUUAUCUCACAUAUGUGACAUCAAAAAAGUGCUACACUUUUUUUUUUUUUUCAAAAAAAAUUAUCUCAAAUAAUCGACUAUCCAAACACAGUCGUUGAAAAGGCUAGUGAAAGUCAAUGGAUGAUGAUGAGCAUAAUUGUGUCCAUAUGGAUUAUGUCCUUUAGGGGUGUUUUUAAAAAGCUUUACCACAGCUUUGUAGGUUAAAAGCUUUACCACAGCUUUGUAGGUUAAAAGCUUUUACUGUAGAUUUUUUUUUUGUUUUUUGGGGGGGGGGAUUUUAAAUUUAAAGUUUUUUUUUCCAGUGUUUUAAAAACUUUGAAAAUCUAUUUCUCCUUCCCUCUCAAUCUACCAUCACCACCUGCCUCCUUCGCCCGUUCCUGCCUGCCACCUUCCCCCACUCCCUUCCUCUUCCCCCACUCCCUCCUCCUCUCCCCCUCCCCUUCUUCACUGUGACUAAGAUCUGGUUGUGGAGGAGGAGGGCAGGGGUGGGAGGGGAGAUUGGUUUUUUGUAUUUUUUGGGGGGAUGGGGGGGGGGCUUUGGAAGGAGAAGGGAAGUGGGAAGAGGAGGGGAGGGAAGUUGGAGGAAGAAAAGGGUGGUUUUUUUUUUAUGCAGCAUUGUACUUGAAAAACUAGUGUUUGGAAAAAUUCCAAAUCCAAACAGACCCUGUUGUACAAAAUUUAGCCCUUACUAUCAGUGUUGGCAUUGUAGCAUCACAAACCUUAUUGUUUCCAUACUGUUUAUUUAUCAUUUUUGAGGACUUAUGUGCAUGGGAAAAUGUUUCAUGUGAGUGUCACUGGUGGUGUAUUGUCCUCAAUCAGUUGAGAUGAGGACAUUUUUACUCUACAUUUAUACACCAAUUAUUUGACUAUUUGGCUAGCAACACACUCUCAAUCUUCUCACUCAUCAAGUCUUCAAUUGCUGUUAUCUUCUACAUUGACAUGGGUCUUGGGAGAAUAGCUUCUGCUUCUUCUGUGUGUCUACUUCCAAAGCUUUAUGUUCUGCUUUUUCCUUCCCACAUUUUCUUUUUUUGCUCUUUUCUAAAAAUGUUCAUUCGCAAGAGUUUCCUCAGAACUUCAGCUUUGGUUUAACUGUUCAAUCAUAAGCCCUUCCCAUCUUUCUCCUUGUACUGAUUACUCCUUUGCCUCUUGUGCAGAGCAGUUUUAUCCAUGAUGUUAUGCCGUGUGAGAUCCCCGGAAGACCUUUAUUCUCUCUGGUGGAAGUUCACCUUUCUGCCUAUCUUUUUUUUCAGGCAGAUAUCAUUGUAUUUUUUCAAUUUCUGUAAUCUCUUUAGAUUCUUUUUAAGAUAGGGCUCAAAGAAUUUUUAUUGAGAUCAUCCCUCUGAAUGAAUUGCACCUUGUGUCCUCAUUGCACAGGGUCUUCAGGGAUGUUGUACACUAAUAUACCUGUAAUUAUUGUCUUGUAUAGAAAUAUUCACCUUUCCCUUUUGUCUUUGUUCGUUGUUAUAGCAGCCAUAGUGCUUACUUUUGUCAGAUAAGCUUUAGUAAGCCUCUAACGUGCUUUAAAUGGAAAGCUGUUACCACAACUGAAAUAUUUACCCAGUAUAUUGAUGUUUAGCAAAGUAUUAAUGUGGAAGGAUAAGAAUAAUGAUGAUGGUAAGAAAGUGCAUUAUCUCAAUUAAUUGAAUACUUCCAAAAGGAAGCAAAUACAUGCAUGGAUUGCUAUUUUCUUUGCUGUACAUUGACCUUUUUGGUAUCCAAUCAAUAGGCAUAGUUUUGGAGUGGAUGUUUUGCUGAAACUUUUUCAUCGAUCUAGUGGGGUUUCAGAUAUUCAGCUCCCUUAACUGUAGCAAAUUAAAGUUUCUCGAAAACUCACGGGCUUAAUAGCCAUAAAAUGUCAGCAAGUUUAUCUUUCCAAAGAAUUUUGGAAUUAUUGACUAGUAGGGUGUGUAUAACUGAUUAAGUGGUUUUCCAAUUGCAUUAGAUCUAUUGUGCUAAGCUUUGCUAAGCUUGCCUUAUCCUAAAAGUUUAAUUCGUGUAAACUGAAAUGUGGAUUAGCAUAUUUAGAGUGUUGUGUUACAUGCACAAUUUUAGUUUAUUAGUGACACUUAGCAUACUUUGUGAUUAUAGGAAGUGCUCUUCAAAUUGCUUUUUGGUUUAUGCUCCACUUGUGAAACGUACAUGUAAAGAGUACAAAGUGAAUUGUGUAUAAGCUUAUUGAGUAUUGCUUCACAUGUAUAUUUUUUAUACUAAUCGACUCAUGAAUGGCUUUGUUACCAUUGAGCAGUAUUUUGAAAUUAUGUGGCUUAAUGAUGCAGCUUAAGGAUGAUGUGCUGUUUCAGUUCUGUCAAAUUAAUUUUUGUUAAGUUUUGCCUACAUGGGCUUUUUCUCUUAGCUUGUACUUUUGGAUCCUUUAUUUUGGUGGGACUGUCAUGGAUUUUGCAGUUUUAGUUUGUCCUUUAACAAAUUAAGCAAGUAGUAACUAGUUCAAUCAAUAGAGCCUUCAGAAAAAGGGAAAAAGGUGCACCCAGAAAAGGGUACCGUUUGCUUUGAAUACUUGGAAAGGCAAAAGACAUUGAUCAAGAUUCUGCAGAGAAAUUUCUCAGAAGGAACUGUUUUAAACUUGAGCUAAGGUUGGAGCCGGGGUGUUAAGCAAAUAGAACAUACUAAUUUAGUAUUUAACUCUAUGAUGGUUGUAAUUUGCUUAUUUUAGCUGUUUAGGUUCCAGGUUUGAAAUGUUUUUCCCAGUAUGAAUGUGAAGUACCAAUCAGAUAACUGGAUUGAGUGUUCUUAAAGGGUGAAGUACCAAUCAGAUAACUGGAUUGAGCGUUCUUAAAGGGGGCUCGUGGCAAAAUAUGUCCUCGACCUAUAGGAUGUGCCUGGGGCUGUUGAAGGCCAAGCCUUCCUUUUCAUGCCUCUGUUAGAAGUGACAAGAGAGCUUAUCGAUGUGGAAUAAAAUAACUUAGGAAUUUACUUUGCGGAUGCUAAUUUCUUCCAGAACACAUUGGUGUGAGUGCAAAAGUGAUGGUGCCCAUGUUGCUUAUCCUAGGGAAGAAAAAUGCACCAAUAAGAAAACUGCAUUAGUGGAUUACUCAAGCAAGAUCUUACCAUUACAUGCUUUAGUAAUUAGAUAUUGAUAAUAUAGUGGAAGGGUUUUGUUUACAGUGCAUGACAUUCCUAAGGAGGGUUCUCAAAUCUUAAUAUCAAUUGGAUGAAAGUCCUAACUAUGGUCAGACUAAUUUAUGAUUAUGGAAAAAUUAUGCAUAGCAUGAUUUAUGAAGUACUUUGUCUCACCCUUUUCUCUCCUUAGUUUAUCUUGUAAAGAACAUUUCAAAUAUUUGGUUUGAUAGCAGAUAAUUGUUCUGGUAGAGAGGUACUCAAACUUUGUAUAAACUUUGUAUUUUUAUGUGACAUAUCUUUUUCAGUGAAGAUGUCAUGCUAUCAGUUGAUGAGCUUUCAGAAAUCAAGAGAAUUGCAAGUGGACACCUUCGUCUUCUAGGUUUCAAGCCAUUGAGUUGUUUGAAAGACUAUCACAACUUGAGGCCAUCAACAUUUAUUUUUCCUAGUGAUGAGGUUAUAAUUAUUUCUCAAGACUCCUGGGUUUUGCUUCUCUAUUUUAAUACUACUUGCUCUUGCCAUAUCCUACUCCCAUUUCUUUCUGAUGCUCUCAUAACUGAAUGGUAAUUUUUUCACAAGUCAUGGAAUUCUGAUUAAUUAUUGCUGUUCUUUCAUGUCUUUACUACAUAAGCCUCCAGUUCUCUCUCUCUCUCUCUCUCUCUCUCUCUCAUAUUUUGGAAUAGCCUGGUUAUGAAUCUGGAUGCAUAGUAAGUGUAAAAGUAUGCACAAGAAAAAGGUUCAGUUGUAGUAUUGUGCUAGCCUUGUACUGCUUGAAAGUACAAAAUAUUAGUCAUGCCUAAUGGAGUUUAUCAUACAAGUACCAUUCUCUUUUGAACAGUAGGAUAUAUCUCAAAUAUUGCAGAUUCUGUUGAACUGCGGUAAUUUAUACUUUUUUUUUGUUCUGAAUAAGAAAAACCCCAUCUUGGACGUAAAUGUGCAAUAACUCGAGGUUUACAGAAUUAAGAAUCUUCAUUGAUUUUUUUUUAAAAUUCUUUGAUGCGUAUCAACUGUUAUUAUUGACUAUUGAGAUCUGAUCAUGGGUCAAGCUAACAGACAUUCUCAUUUUUUCUUUAAGAGGUGGAUAAAACUGUAGUUUUUCAGAGUCUAAUUGCUACAUGAUGCAUGCUUUUAGUUAUUGUUGGAAGUUUAGCAAAAGAACAUGAAAAGUGUAGAGGCUUAAAGCCUUUGACUUUUGACUUGUGCAAUUUUGUAUAGUCAUUCAAACUUUUCUAAAUUAUUUAGAAUAACACUAUUGCCCUUUUUUCUAAUGUGAUGUGUGUGAGAUAAAAAGGUAGUUGAAAGUAUAAAGAGGUGGUUGGAAAUAUAAAAAGGUGAUUGGAAAAUGUGUUUAUGAUGCGAGCAAAAUUAUAUUUGGAAAAAAAAUUUGUAUGCAAAAACACCCGAUGUUUUCUUGCUACAGCUAUAGUCUUGUUAACUGCUUAUAGUAUUAUUGCAGGAAGUGAUUGGAAGUACUUGCAUUUUUGUUGCUCUUCAUAGAUCCAUGUUGCAGCUUAAUCGGUUAGUAAUCUUGAUAUUUCGUAUUCUUUAUAAUACUGUAUUUUCUAGUUGAUCCCUCGAUACUAAAAAUUAACACGCAAAAGCAUGGAACAACUAUGCAGCUUAGGAUCUAUUUGAAGUGCUAUGAUGGGAGGCUGAAACCAAUUAAGCAGAAAGUCUAGUUUGGAAUAGUAAAGCAUUAAAGAAUCCUCAUAAAAAACAAUCAAUCUUGGAAAUUCAGUAUAUAUUUUCUUUCCCUCCACAUAUUUGUUAUUUUGAUGGAGGUGACAAUGCACAUCUGAACUCUUGAAACUUUCUCAAAAAGAAAGAACUGUUGAGACCUAUGGUUGGUCUUGUUUCAUGCAUCUGCUACAUCUACCCAAAAUUGUAUAGGAUGCUCAAUUGUUGGAAUGAUUGUGCCAUCCACUGGAUUCAGGCUAAAAUGACUUUAAUAUUUUCUCCUCUUUCUAGGUUUGUGUUGGUGUUCUUUUUGCAACUCUGAAUAGCUUAGCACAUUCUGGUUAAUAAUUUAGUGCAGUUUUAAGCAAAUAUUAUUAUAUUACUGCUGCUUAUAAAUGAGGGAGGGAAAAAGAGAAGGACAUUGACGUUAUAGCUACAGCUUGGAACAAUUUUAAACGUUUGCUUCUGAUACUUGUACUUUCACAUCUUUUCAUGCACAAGAUUGAAUUGUGAUUGACUUUUUGGUUUUUUUUUUUUUUUAACUAAUACUAUGAACUUAUUCUUUCAUGUAUUGUUUUCAGUUUUGCUCUUGCUUUUGGUGGAAGUUCAAAUAAUCCUCAUCUGGUUGCCCUGGUUGCUCAAGUACGUUUUUUUUUUUAAAAAGCUCGUUACACUGUUCAUUUUCAUGUUGGUCAGCUUGUAGAAUGCGAACUCUGAGUUGGUAUAAAUUAGCUUAGCAUAACUUCAGCUAAUCUGUGGCUGGAGUAUAUGAUUGGUUCACCUUCUGCUGACUGCCUGUCCUAUAUUAGCCAAAAUCUGCAUUCUUGCUAAUAGUGAUGGGUGUUUCAAAGACCAGUUUUGUACAGUUUUCUUUCACCAGCUGAUGCAGUUUCUUUUCUAACAAGUUAAUGCGAUUGAAACAUUGCACUUGGUAUUUUUGAUACUCUAACAUGCAGAUCAGCAAAUGAUCACUGAUGUACAAAAAGGAUCUAACUUGCAUGACAGUCUAAUGUGGCUAAAGUCUUGAUGCUCUAAUAUCGGUUUACAAGCUUUUAAGCGUGCAUAGUCAACUUGUAUAAUUUAACUGUAGAUGGUUGUGCAUUUUACAGUCUGAUUAAGACUUUAGGAUUUCUAAUUUUUUUUGUUUGGUCUUAAAGAUGUGUCAUUUAGGCAUACGAUUUCAGUAGAGUUGCAAUGUUCUUUGAAUGGGGGAGUACAAUACCCAGACAAGUUUCUUUGAUUAUUGCCUUUACCAUGGCUUCAUUUUUGUCGUUUUCUCUUUUUUUUUUCCUUUUGGGAGCUUUCCUCCCUCCCUCCCUCCCCCUCUCUCUCUCUCUCUCUCUCUCUCUCUCUCUCUCAUUCUCACACACACACACACACACACUCUCUCCUUCACUCUUAUACAUACACUCACAUACCACUCUCACAAAUUAGGAUGGUGUAUUCAAUUAAGGAUGUAAAUAUCACAGUACACGAUUCUAGAAGACAGGAAAAUGAUCUGGAUAGGGGUGGCAAAAAUGGAGGCUUAGUACAAAGUAGGGGACCUUCACACAUGGAGGGUGCAUGCCUGUAGUCUCCCUGGCUGGAGUCAAUAAAAUUCAGUGGAACACUAUAAUUUCUGGUCAGAAGCCCCGCCGGGGGGGGGGGGGGGGGGGGGGGGGAGAGAGAGAGUUGUCAUUUUAUUUUAAUUUUUUUGCUAUCCGAAUUACAUUGUGCAAGUGCAAUCUGCAGUACCUUGAUUGUAAGGUACACACCUGUAUGGAGAUAAGUUGGAAAAAGAGCAUCCACGGAUAAUGUGCACCUAGAGGAUUAUUUGUUUUCCUUUGAAGUACUGGAGGGUCAUAUGUAUCCAACUAAUUGAUGAACUGGUUCAAGUUUGUUUUCUUCACAGAAUAACCAGUAGACAACAUCGCAAGGGACUACGUGGAAAAGUUUUUUUUAAUUUUUAUUUUGCUACAGUUUUUCUGCCUGCUUGUACUUACACUCUCGUUAUUGUCAAAUUAUAGAAUGAGAUCAUCAGUGGCGGUGGUCAGGUUGAGCCACCAGGAAUGCAUAUGAUAUACCUUCCAUAUUCUGAUGACAUCAGACACGUUGAAGAGGUAAGAGGAAUACAUGUGCAUGUGUGUGUGUACAUACAAUACAUAUAUAUAUAUAUAUAUAUGUAUAUGUAUGUAUGUAUUUGGGUAAGUAGGUUGGUAAUGACAUUACAGCUCUAAAAUUUUGGUGUAAAACUUGCAGGUUCAUGCAGAUGCAAACACCAUUGCACCUCGAGCAACUGAUGAUCAAACUAAAACGGCCUCUGCUUUGGUACGACGUAUUGACUUGAAAGAUUUUUCUGUAUGCCAGUUUUCAAAUCCUGGUAUGUUUGACUAUCAUGUAUCACAUGUACUGUUCCAAUUGCUGUCUGUUUUGCUUUUGACUUGACAGAAUGCUAAUAGCAUAUAUAACAUGUAAUUUAACAAUCCAUUUAGCAUAGUAAUACUGAGGGCUUGUUUGAUAACUCUAUUUAAAGCUGAAAAUUAAUUCAUUCAGAACUUUUUCAAUUCAGCAUGUUUGAAAAUAGAAAUGCCUUACCACUUAAUGUAUUAAGUGCUGCUUAAUUUGUGUAUUAACUUUGAAGUGAAUAUUUUUCACUGAAUUUUCCGAAUUGACUAUACAUAGUAUAGGUCUCAUACAUAUAACACACUCAUACAUACUCUUACACAAAAAAUACAUUUGUUCUUUUUCUGUUCACAUGCACGCAUGCAAAUAUACACUCUCCCACAAAAAUAUGCACACUUAAACACUACCUUUAAAUUGUUUCAUUAUUUUCUCUCUCUCAAACACACGCAUACACACUUUUUAUUCUCUCUAAAUACACAAAUAAAGGUAAUUUUUUUAAAGAUGAAAACAUAAUAUUUCUGUGAUAUUUCAAUUCAGCACUAUAAUUCAGUUAGUUAUCAAUCAGAUACAACUUAAUUAACUCAGCAACUUAAUACUUUCAGCACUAAUUUUAAGAUUUCAAAAUUCAGAUUUCAGACUUCAGUCUUAUCAAAUGGGCCCUUAAUUCACAUGGAAUGAGUGGAAUUGGAGUGUUUGACCUGGAUAGAGCUUGACUUUUACUGUUUAAGUAGCAGUCUGGAUGGUUUAUGUAGACUAAGCACAGUGCUUGGAGAGCCAAGCAUUAGCUCCUGAAAUAUGAGAACUUUGAAAGGAAAGAGUACAAUAACAAUAUAAAAGUCUGCAAUUGACUUAUAUCAUGUGAAAGUGUCGAAGCUAGAGAUUACUUCCAUUUGUCUUUGGACUAGGGAAAUGACCUUAAAUGUAUUCAUAUUUGAUUUUUUACUUCUUUUGCAUUCUGAAAUUGGGGAAAUGACUGUGGGCCAAACAGUCGAAUACAUAGACUCAGUGAGGUUUUGAAUGAAACAAUAUUGAUGUGGUGACUCCUCAAGUGUUCAUUUGUCAUUUACUAGUAUUUUCAAUCAUGCUAGGUUUCAUUGUUAAACUGUGUCAGGUUUUAGGAAAGUUGACUGAAUGUUGCUCUGAAUUACCAUUAAUUGUUCUUAUAAAAUUGCCUUCAAAUUGCCUUCAUGCUCGUAUCAUGGAGUUGUUUGAAUCUGCCAUUCUGCAAAGAAAGUUUAUUAGGCUCUUUUGGGCUCCAUUCUUCCUAAUUUUUCCUGGAAUUUCUUUGGCCUUGAUAGAAGCACUUCUUGCAGCUUUGCAGAGACACUAUGCUGUAUUGCAGGCUCUUGCUCUUGAUGAAGAUGAGAUGCCUGAAAUCAAGGAUGAAACUCUUCCUGAUCAAGAGGGCAUGGCCAGGUGCUAGAAUUUCUUUGCAUUGUUAGAUUUUCUUGUCAAAUUGUUGAAUGGAAGUCUCUCUCUCUCUCCCUCCCACAACCCAAAAGUUUACUAAAGUUGAUAUUUAAUUCUGGGUAUACUGAUCAUAGGCCAGGUAUUGUUAAACUGUUGGAAGAAUUCAAACUUUCAGUCUUCGGAGAAAACUAUGAGGACAAUGAUUUGACCAUUGGUGGAACAAUGACUGAGGCCUCUCGAAAGCGGAAAGCAAUUGCUGACAAUGCAACGAAGGAAUAUUCAAAAUAUGACUGGCUUGAACUUGCAGACACUGGAAAGGUGCGUUCAGAUAAGCUGAUCUUUAAUUUUGAGGUUUAAAUAAAACUUCACUUCUUGGAUUGUUGAACAUUGCUCAUCUGUAUAGGUAACGAUGAAGUCAAAUUGGUGUAUUGAGGCAAUGUUUUCUUUUUUCCUCUUAGAGAGUUUAAGCAUACCUAAAGCACAACACGGUAGUAAAUAUGGUUAUGACUUGCUGAUUCAAAAUGCAUGACAUCCUCCUUGCAUGUCUGAUAGGAUAGAUAGAUAAAGCAGCAUCAACUCUUUAAUGUUGUGGUGAAACUGAUAGUUAUGGUCCUGGUUCUGGUUCUUGGUUCUUGGUUCAUACUUCUUAGAUGACGCUCCAGGGAAACAAAAAAAAAAAAAAAAAAAAAUCUAGCUAUUCUUUUUGUUAGAAUCAGCAAUUAAUUUCUUGUUUUCCGGGAAGUUUGCCAGUUACAUUCUAUUGUGGUUGUUUCAGUUGAAGGACUUGACCAUGGCUGAGCUGAAGUACUAUUUGACGGCAAACAACCUCUCUGUUACUGGUGCAAAAGCUGCUUUAAUCAGCAGAAUAUUGACUCACAUGGGAAAAUGAGGAACAUCAUGAUUACUGUCUGAACAUCAGCCUGACUCCUGUUGCUACUGAUUUUCUUGCUCCAGUAUCUUUAUGCAUGCAUGUACUUGUAGCUCUCCCUAUUCCCAAACGAGAAUAUGUAUAGGUUUUGACAUUUUAUUGUAAACAAUGCACCCAAUGUCCCCCGCCACUCCCCUUUAUGGUGGUGAAGCUGUAGUCAUACUACGAAUUAUAGUGGGCCAUUUUUGUUUUUUGUUUUUUUUUGUACAGAAGUAUCGGGACAUGUUCUCAUUGCAUUGUACAAAAGAUGCAGAAAUUGUAAUGCCUUUUGACUUUUUUCUAACCUUGUAUGAUUUCGUGCAAAGAACGCCCAAAAAUAAAAGAAAAUCAAGCAUCCCUUUUUACCCUAAUCUUUUUAGUGGUGCAUAAACCUAGCGUUGAACACCUGAAAUAGAUGAUGCAGACGGCAUGUGAUGGAAUUUUUUUUAUUUGUCCUUUCAAAUUAUGAUUUUGCUUUUUUGGCCUUUGAAAAAAAAAAAAACUUUAGAUGUCUUGAACCAGCCCACCAGGAUGAUGUUGGAUCCCCCACCGAAGUUGUCUAUUGAAAGUGUUAUGUUUUUCUCUUUGGUAUGUCAUAAAAUUAUGUCAUCUUAUCAAAUUUGCCGAAAAAAAACUAUCCCUUCAUUUUCAAGUUGUAUCCUUGGUUAUAAUUGAUUCUUUAUUAUAUAUUUGAAUUUUCAAAAUCUCUAACAUCACGUGAAUGGGCUGGUGGUUGACGCCUCUUCCUCGGGACCGUCAGGUCCUGGGGUCGAACUUCCGCAGCAAUAUCGGCUUUUCCGUGCAUUUAACAUGCUAGGUCUGGUUGGGGCACUGGGCCGGGCCGAAGUGGGAUUAGUCGGGCCGCUUUUACGGACUUGACACGACACAUGCUAGGUCUGGUUGGGGCACUGGGCCGGGCCGAAGUGGGAUUAGUCGGGCCGCCUUUACGGACUUGACCCGAACACCCCCUCCCUAGCAAUAUCGGCUUCUCCGUGCAUUUAACAUGCUAGGUCUGGUUGGGGCACUGGGCCGGGGCGAAGUCGGAUUAGUCGGGCCGCCUUUACGGACUUGACCCGAACACCCACUCCGUCGACAAAAAAAAAAAAGUAGUAAACAAUGUGCUUUCAUUAAACGUCCAAUUAUGUAUCAUAAAAGUUAUAUUGGGUGUAUUUCGCCCCCCAUGUUAAGUUUAAUAGUUUACGUGGACAGUGAAUAAUUGUGGGUUUAUAUGUUAUACUUUUUUCGUAAACAAAACUGAAAAAGUGACAUAGAAAGUUGAAAAGAAGUAAUAAAUUACCUUCACUUUUGCUACUAUACAUAAAAAAUAUGGACUUCUAAACGUGACAAAUAUUACGAGACAGUGAAAGUAUAUAGUGUGUGUGUAUGUGAUUGAAAUACGAUUGGUGCAGGUUGCACCACCUGCACCAAUCGAAGAAGCUACCUUUGUCAAACUCAACUAAUUAAAGCUACCAUUGUCAAACUCAACUAAUUUGGUGUAUAAUAUUUAUUAGAUAAAUUUACACACAUAACUUGUGGAGUAGUAUAUUCUUAAUAUAUAUAUAUAUGAAAAAAAAUGCAAUUUUGGUCUUUAAAGUUUGGCACGAACUAUUAUAAUUCUCAAAGUUUAGACCAAAGCAAAUCUGGUCCAUAAUAUUUUCAGUUUGAAGCACAUUUAGGACCAUUGACUGAUUUUUUUUUUUUUUAAUUUUCAAAGGAUAGAGUCACAUGAUCCUUGUCAGAAAUUUUGGCCUUACAUUUUCUUUUAAAAGAGAAGGGAGAGAAAGAAAUGAGAUCAAGAUCAAAGUUAAUUUUGGAUGUUGGAUGCAUAUCCCUAUGAUUUUAAUAAUUUCUUUUUAUUUUUUUAAGUUAAACACAUGAUUACAUUCCAAUAAAAAUUGAAAAAAUUGAUUAAUUGUCUUAAACGUACUUCAAAUUUAAAACACUAGGGACCAAAUUUGCUUUGAUCAAAACUCUAGAGACUAAAAUCGCGCCUGUGUCAAACUUUGGCAGCGAAAACUUUAUUUUGCCCCAAUGGUUCAUUCAUAAUCAUUCCUAAGAUAUUGUAUUAGUAUAAGUGUUGAUGCAAUGUGUAAGAGAUUAGUAGGAUUUUCGUUACUGCAACUCUGCACGCUGCCAUAACUAUAAACACAAAAAGCCAUUUUAUGAUUCGGACCCUUUAAUUCAGAUAUCCAAAUAUCUCCAUUAUGUGGAUCGAAUCAAUCUGAGAUCAGUAUCCAAUUUUAAUUUUCUUAAAAUUUCAAAGAUAAAAUGAAAUUUAAGUGUAUUAGAAUUUCAAAAAUAUCGGGUAUGUGAUAUGUUGUACUAACAUAUGAGUUUUUGGUCCAAAUUAUAAGUGAUGUGUUGUAGUAACUAUCAUUAUUCUCUUCUUUUACUCCAAUUCAAACCAAUAAGAUUCAAUAAUUCAUUUACAUUUUUUUUUAUCUACAAAUUAUAUGACAAUAUGUUUAAAACUUAACACCAUAUACUAAGAAAGCGCAUUUUGAAAGAGAAAAUAAAUAUAAAAAUAAGAAAUAACAUAUGAGACUAUUUUAAAUUAGUGGAUUUAAUGUGUAAAAAAUUUAAAAAAAAAAUAGAAAAAUGCAAUAUGAAUCAAAUCAAAUAUCCACGGAUAAAAAAAAAAAUCCGAACCCAAUCCAUAUAACUUCUUGAUCUGGAUGUGAUUCGAUUCGCAUAUGAUCUGACAUCGAAUAUCUGCUAAUUUAGAUCGGAUGCAAAUCGGAUCACCUAAUUUGUCAAAUCACCAGAUCAAGAUGUAUACCCCUACUAAAAACUUCAGCAUUAAAACUUUAAAUUUUGUGCAGAAAAUUUAACACCCACGCACCUUAUAGAAUAGAAAAACCCUACUACUAACAUGUACAAGGUAUAACCUAAAAAUGAAAUAUGCAACCCUGUUAACACCUGCUAUUAACACGGCUGCAUCUCUCUCUCUCACACACACAAUAUUGGACGAGGUAUUCAUAUGGCAAAAUUAUUGAAUACGCAUUUCACAUCAUGCAAAAUUUUACAAGGGUGUAUCUAUGACAAUUGCGAAAUAGAAAAAGAGCAGUAGUAUUUGAGAUGGUCAUUUUGCAACAAUUUUUUAAAAUCAUCAUGAAAAACGUGAAAGGAGUAACAAUCUUUGAAAGUUUCCAAUUUUCAUGUUUUCUUUUUGCUGCGUUCCAAUUUUAAGUUCUGGGCAUCCCUAGCAAGCUUAAAACUAGGGUUGGAUUGCAAAUAGUAUUUACUUUUGUUAAAUUGAUCAGAGAGUACUUGUACUACAGUCCCAGACUGUGUGCCAAGAAGCUGAGAUUAAUAAUUGCAAAUACCGUUUUAUGUAACGCCACUCAUGCCACUGAAAGGAAUCCUUAUGCUAUGAAAUUGAUUUUUUUUUUUUAACAUAAAAGAGGUGGAAUUUAAUAAACAAAAAGUUAUUUAUAUUGUUGAAGGGCUAGUCAAGAUGCUUAUUUGAUUCAACUCGCUUAUGUCAAAUGAAUUUUUUGGAUGUUUGUCUAAAACUUUACUAUAAUUUAUUGUAGAAUUUUUAAGAAAAAUUUUUAAGAUGGAUUUUUUUUUUUAAUGUUUCGGGUAUUUUGAAGUGUGCAUUUUAAAAACUUUGAAAAGUUUUUUAAAAUUACUAUAGUUAAAGUUAUUAAAAAAUUCAUAGGAGAUAAACUUGGUCAAAAACUUCUUUUCCAAUUAGGGAACUUCUUAACCACAGCAAAUAAGUUGCUUAUUAACUCAAUUGGAACUUUUCCUAGGUAAUCUGCUAAGAUAGAAGGGCAUGUCCUGAUAUGAAUCGCAAGAUGCUUUGUUCACAAGGAUAAUUUAAAAAAAAAAAAAACUGCAAGAUCAUCUCAGACUUAAAAUUAUAUUUUCGUGUAAUAAUAAUAUGUAACGAUACAAGCAGUGAUUCAAACACAGGACGCUAGAAGAUAUAUGUUUCCUCUCUAAGCUGGCUCCGCCAACAAAAACCCAUAAGCUGGCUAUCUGUUGCUGCCCCAACAGAUAGAAACCGAAAGCUUUACUUGUCAUAGAUAAUCAUACAGAUAAUAAAUAUUAUUCAGGAAAUCUUAGUCCACCAGCUUGCCUGCCUGUGUUUUCAUUUUGCUACUUCCCUUAGCUUUGCUGUUCCAAGACAUCUUGGAUUAGCAUUGUCAUAUUCUUGUGAGAAGAGCCGCCUUCUUCACUUGCCUUCUUGGCCUUCUCCCCAAGCUCUGUUGCUCUUCUUCUUCUCUCUUCUCCUUCCCCUCCAUCUUCCAUCAGUUCAUCUAAUGCUUUCUUGACAUCUUCCCUCUUAACUAAUAUCCCUGCUUUGUCUUCCUCUCCCCACUUCACGGGCACUUCAACACCCACGCUCACUCCAAUCUUGAGUACUUUUACAAUCAGCUUCUCAUUGUAAAACUGCUCAGCAAAUUGCGGCCACGCCACCAUUGGCACACCUGCUGAUAUCCCUUCCAGCGUCGAGUUCCACCCGCAAUGGGUCAAGAAUCCUCCAAUUGCCUGGUGGGAAAGUAUGAGCACUUGUGGUGCCCAACCCCUGAUCAGGAGGCCUCUCUCUUUGGUCCUUUCUUCAAAUCCACUUCCCGAAAUCAGCUCCUCUAGUGCUUCUACUUGUCCGCCUCCUCCAAUCGACCAUAUGAAAGGUCUCUUUGAUGCUUCUAGACCAAAUGCAAGCUCCAUCAUUUGCAGAGGCAUCAGGCGAGACAAGCUUCCGAAACUUGCAUAAACCACUGAUCUCGGCUUACGUGAAUUCAGCCAAUUCAAGCAAUGUUCUUGAUCUAUUGAAACCUUGUUUCCCCUCUCGGCCUUGUCUGAGUUAUCCCUGUUGCACAAUGACACAGGGCCUAUGCACCAGACUUUCUUCCCCUUGGCUUUUCGAUACUCUUUCACGUACUCGGGUUCCAGCUCCUCAAAACUAUUAAUCACCACACCAUAUGAUGUUUCCUCGGCUUCUCUGAUUUGGUCGGUAACAUCUUUCAAUGCAGAUGAGUUCGCGUUGGUGGCACCUGCUGUCUGAGCUUUAGUAACUUCAAUCCGGUCCGGCAGGCCUGGCACCACAAAGUACUCUGUAUCUGAGGUUAUGUCGUCUCGAAUCCUGGAGACUAGGAUGUUGUAAGAGCACAAGAGCGAAAAGCAACACGUUCCAUGGAACACAAAUCUUGGGAUAUCAAACCUUUUAGCUAUUUGUGUCGUCCAAGGUAAACCCAUGUCGGAAAUCAGGCAGCUUGGCUUGGGAUUUACCUCUUUUAAAGAUUGCUCCACUUCUUGCCGCAACAGGCUAAGUGCAACAAAGAAGUUGGCAGCCAUGUUCAGCGAGGGAAGCAUGUCAAUAUUUUCACAACCUUCUGGCAAGCCAGCUUCCACAGAUGGAAAACGGAUUUCGAUGAGUUGGAUUUGGAGCCCUGACUCUAUUGCACUAUUGAUAGUUUUACUGAAUCUUUGAGCAUUGAUGGGCGUGGUAAUGAUAGUUACAAGCACCUCACGCUGUGCCAGCAACUUGGCAAUGUCGAUCAUGGGAAUCAUGUGGCCCGGGGCCAUCAAAGGAAACAAGAUAAAGUGAAGCUGGUUGUGCGAUGCCAUGGCUGAGAAAACAACAAAGGGAGAAUACUCUUGGUAUAUUUGUGCCUCUUUCUAAUGUUCUUCGUUUCGGCUAAUAGGAAAAAAAAUGAUUUAGCUUGCUUCCCAUGGGCCUUGGCAGGGUAGAUAUAUUCCCAUGUCAUGUCUUUCCCAAUUUUAUGUGUUUGAUAAAGAGGAUGAGUGCUGUGGAAAACAGGUUCCCAUCUCUUUCUUUUUUCCAAGUUAGGUACCAUUUUUUUUCUUGUUCAAACACCUGUUUAAGACUUUAAGUAGAUGACAUACCCCACAUGGAUGGAUGGUGUCCAACUUGUUGCAUAUGCCUUCCAACGUGCACACCUUAACGAGACUGGAGCCACAUCAUCACAUCACAUCACAAAUUUUAUUGCUGUCAAUUGCACGAGAUGAAUCAUGGUUUGGGCUAAUUUCUCAUAAUAUACCUAAACAAAAAAAUUCAUGAAAUGUAUGCCCCGUAUUGUACAAAAUUAUACCUGUCGUGUCUAGUCAAUACGACAAGAAAUUUAUUUUUUUUAAUCACUGCAGUGCAGGCUAUCUUACUGACUGUGCACGGCAGUCUGCAGCCAAAUUUAAAAAAAAAAAAAAAAAUGGCGCCUGCUACCGUGCUGACUGUGCACGAUAGCAGGCAGUCGAUCAAAAAAAAUAGCUACCGUGCUGCAACUGCAUCUGCCUGGACUUUCUCAGUCUCUUCUAAACUAAACCUUGGUGUGUUUUGCUAGUGGAUUUAUCAAGGGAAGUUCAACAAAUACACAAGGCUGUACACCAGCUUUGCCAUCUUCAGAUUUAGCAGCAAAUGAACACUGGUAGAAUAGAGAUCGUCAGACACUCUAGAAUUUGACACCAAUGAACUAUGACAGAGUCAACUAAUGUCAAUCUGGAGCUUUUCAUCUUCAAAAUAAAAUAUUCUACAUCUCUGUCCGAAAUUUGACAUGAAUAUGUUUUAGUUAAUCCAUUUAUUGGAAGUUAAAGUUACCACAUAAUGGCGUAUUUGUCUAGAAAGAUUUUACUUUGACAUAAAAUAUUAUUCAGAAUAUUUAUCCAAAACUUGACUAAGAAAAAUAGGCGGGACUUGAUAAUCGUUGCUUUCAUGGCUCCACCAGCAACAUCAAUUUGGCUUGAAAUAUUCCUACCCUUGACUUCCAUGGAUGGACAUAUGAUUCGGUCAAACUAGAGGAUGAGUACAAAAACAAUAGCAAAAUAACUUAGAAUAGAGAGGGGCUUAAGUCCCUUUUUGGGCUGUAGAUGAGAGUUCAAACCUCACCUGCAGCGAAAAAAAUUUAAAAGUUAUGCUAGAACACUUCCUUGAUCUAGUUGAAUCUGUAUACCCACUAACCUCUUACUACAGCCUUCUUAGGCUUCCAUCCCCCCUAAAUUAGGAUAGAAUAAGUUAUACAAAUGUAUGGUUGCUGACAAAAAAAAAAAAAAAACCAUGACAUUAUAUCGAGGCACUUGGAUGGUUAGUAGACUUAGUUUAGAUGCCGAGUCAUAAACAAAUAAUCAGACUAGAUGACAACACAGGCACACUCCAGCAUGAUGGAUGCAGAAUUGUCAAAGAAACGAAGGCCAGUGAUGAAAUGCAGACCCGAGCCCUGCUUCUCCACCAAAAGAAAAACUACGAAAACCACAGUUUGAAUAUUUGGAAAUGGAAAAGACAUCAUGAAAGCAACCAUCAUAUUUGUCGAUUCCUCACGUAAGUCUAAAUUUGGUUGGUAACCAACUACUUGGCUUGGCCUACUCCGCGUUACUUGCCUGAUUGCAAGUGCAUGAAAAUGAUAGGUAUGUCCAGUACUUCUGACCAAUUCCCUGAAGCCGAUGAAUGGGUUUGCAACAAAUGCAAGAACUGCUUGAAAGAGAUCAAAGGAUAAUUCUUACUACUGAUUGGGUCUAUUCAGGAAAAGGGUAGGAGAAGGUCCAGGCAUAUGCAGUUGCAACCGUAGCUUUUUUUUUUUACCGACUGCCUGCUAGCCACCUUGUUGACUGGGGACGACAGGUAUAGUUUUGUACAGUAGGUUUGUCAAACAUACAUUUGACGGACUUUUUUUUUUGGGGUAUAUUCUGAGAAAUUAGCCCAUGGUUUAAAACCAUAAAUUGCGAAAUUAGCUUCUUUCUAUUUUACUUUUUGUCACAACGAUAAUAUUUUUAUAAUCUAAUCUAUCCUAUUUUAAAAGGAGAUAGAAUCUAAAAAAACUGUAUAAUGGGUUAACAAGUAUACAAAUCCAAAUAUAUCAAAGAGGUGUUCUAACACCUCCUUUGAAUUUUUUUUCACUGUAAGUGAAGUUCAAACCCUCGAUCUAGAGCCCAAGAAAAGGACUUAAUCCGCUUUUGGUGACAACCAAAAUUAGCUUCUUUCGGCUGUUGCAAAAUUGAUUUUAGUCUAGAGAAAUGAUUGUUUACACGAAAAGCCAGUAUAGCAGGGAGCAAAGAAAAUUACAGAUAAAGAGUGAAUCUCUCAGAAUUGAUUUGUCAUCAGUUGAAAAUUGAUUUUAGUCAGAAAUUAGGACCAUCAUUGGAAACUUUUGACUAGUGACAUAUAUAUACAAGUUGCUCAAAUCAGUUUGUUUUGUGCUAUUUAUUCUAGCCCAUUUUUGGUUCCCUUAAUUUGGCUCUUCCAUAAAACCCUUUCUAUCCGCCAUUCUUGAAAGGUAGUAUUACAUGUUUCAAGGUCCAAAAAAAGUUUUUGGAACGCAAACUCACAAAGUACAAUACUAUAUCAAUUGACCAACGUUGUAAAACGAUGGAAAGAAGUUAUACUUCUCAACACAGCCUUGGUUUUAAGAAAUGUGAAGGGACAUAAAAUUUUUUGCUCUUUGCAAUGGUAGAAAUUGAACUGAUUAGAAUAGACGACUUCCUUUAGGUUUGUGAUGAUAGCUGACAAAUAGGAUUGAUUCCUUCCCCUUAUUCCAAAUCUAAUGUUUUAGCCUAACUAGAUAUGUGUCAGCUUUGAGAGUUCAUGAAAAUUAGAUAUUAGUGAAAACAAAAUUUUCACAAUAAAUUAAUAGAAGGCAACUUAAAUAUUGAGAUAGUUUCAGCACUUAUUAAUAGUUAUCAUCACUGUUAAAGUCUCUUUUAUCUUCUUACGUCUAUGGAUAUCUAUUUCUUUAAAAAAAAUAAAUUAAAAUACACAAAAAAAUAAACCCACCAAUCAUCUUGUAACCAUAGAUGGUAAAGAAAUAAUGAAACAAGAUAUAAUCAAAUAGGGGAACCCAAAAAAAAAAACAAAUAGGGGAACAGAGAAAGGAAAAUAUAAAGUUAUUUGAUAUAUUUAUCUUUAAUUGCCCUAAAAGAGUAGGUGUGGGCAUAAAUACUCCAUAAACUAAACAGAAAUAAAGAAACAAAAACAUAAAUAAAAGUAUUGGAUCCCCUGUUUUUGGAUUGUUUUUCAAAAACUAGUUUUUCAAAUACAAUAAAAAAUUUUAAAAAGUACUCUAAAAGGUAAUCUAAAAAUUAGUUUAAAUUUUUUUAAAAUUUUAAAAAACAUCUCAAAAUAUAUUCUAGAAACUCUUCUGCUCUUAAAUAUUUCAAAAUAUUUUUUAAAAAUAUUCCAAAAUAUACUCUAAAAACUCUGCUACAACAAAGUUUUUAAAAAAUACUCCCAAAAUCAGCUAAUCCAAACGAACCCAAAGCUUAAUGGCUAAACUAGAGGUUGGGUGACCAAGCUGUUUGCAGUUUUCUUAUAAUUGGCUGACUAAAACUUUAUGGUGACUGAUGACUGGUGACUAUAAUCCAGGUUAACUCUCAAAAUUUUCAAACGUGGAUCAUUGAUCUCUUAGAUUUUUUUUUUUUCUUUAUUUGGUCAAAAACGUCAACUUGUAUUACGUAGAAGGAAUAUACAUCAGAAUCCAGCGCUGAGCAACUGCCCAGAAAUUGCUCAAACUUUAUCUGGAACCUCAAAAAUUUGGAUGGAAGGACUUGAUGCUCAAAGUUUUAGCUCAUCAAAAUUUUCAUCUGCGUAUCAACGGGACUUGGAAUUGAUGAUAAAUUAGGCCAUGACCCUGAUGAGAUGCCUGGGCCGCAUCAUUGCAACGACCAACUACCAUAAACAGAAAAUUGAUCACUGAUGUUUUGAUCCUCUGUCCAUGAAUAUCUAAAUCAAGUGUCAGGAUCGUAGAAUCUGAUUCAAAUGCGAAAGAGGUAGUGAGAACUCACUCAGAAUCCCCCGUCCCUAAAUUAUCUACUGCCCCGUGUUUACACAGCUAUUGCGUGUAUUGAUGCAUUGAUAACUCGAGCAUGCGCACACUUGGCAGCUGCAUAAACACGAGACAAACGGGACAAAAUAUAAUUUCAAGACCGAGGAUUCUUAGUGAGUUCCACUCGGGUACUUCUGGCAGCAAGUUUUAAAACAGCGGUAAGUUCUACGUGAUCAUACAUCAAAAUGUCAAAACCUGAGCCUCUGAACAUUUGCAAUCCAAUGCGUACAAAAAUUUCAUCUAAAAGGAAAAACAAAAAAUAGGACGCCAGCAAUAAAGAUCACUACAGGAAAGACAAAAUUGAAACUUCACUUCGAUACAAAUGUUAAAGAAUACAGUUUUCUAAACCUAUUAGGAUCGCAAGCAAAAUCUCCCGACAACCCACAAGAUGACCAAUGAUGUGCAACAUUAUGUGAACUACACCGCCAAGCAAAAAUUUAUGCACUCUCGACAAUAAGAAAAGAAUGACAUGGAUAUGAAUAAGGAUACAUCUUCUACCGACCUCUUCAGACCAACCGCAAUACAACUAAUAUAACCUGUAUGGACUUCACCCUCCUGCUACGCCGAACAGAGGGGUCACUAAUCAAAAUAUAUAAUUUUUUUUUGGUCCAUCCGUAUAAAAAUUCUACAACUACAAGACUCUCCCCUAAAGGAUAUAACCUGAGGAAAGGCGAUAUUCUUAUAUAGAACAGCCGAUUCAUCAGAUAAUGACUAACGCAAACCCACAGCUUCAGAGAAAAGGGGCAGCAGCAUCACGAGUUCCGAUUAAGCUCAUCUUUGGAAUGCAGACACUUGUUUGGACCAGAAUAUGGAUUCAUACUCACUGAUCACCAAGACCAGUGAACCCAGAGAACUCUACAGCUUCCAACUCACUCUUGAUUUUCUGGCACCAUUAUUGCAUGAUGACCAAUGAACUCAGACGCCAAAACCAUAAUACCAGCAAUCAGGGCUCUACAAAAUGAAAUCAUGAGGCGCCCACUGCAGCUGAAGAUGCUUUCUCCAUUUUUUCCUUCUCAAUUUCCACUCUUCGCUGCUCAGCAUGCUGAGCAACACCAUUGGCAAGGGCUUGAAAAUGGAAAUCAAGCGUCUGGGUCAGGUUCUGGAACCUCAAAGGAUCAGAUGCUUGCAAGGCUACAUCAAAAUUUUGGGUAGAGAAGAAUGAACAUGUUAGAGAGUUGUUCAAUCUAUAUCAAGAUCCAUGUAAGAAGAAAUUCUAAUUUUACCUUUUAUUGUAUCGACAAAGAAGACAAAAGGAUCUACGUCAUCUAUGGGUGACUGCAAUUCUUCAUCAUCACUGAAAUCAUCAUCUGAGUCAUCCUCAUCAUCCUCAGUUGAGCGAAAAGCCUUGGCCUGCAAAGCAAAUCUCUCAAUCUAUGAUACAGAAACAACCCUACUACAUUUUGCAGAACUUGGUACCACAAACUACCUUUAAAGUAGAACCAUUUAAAUACAGAUUAUGGGGAUGAGAACACUAAAUAUUCUUUCUCAGCUCUUUCACAGCUGCUUUUUAUUCUUAUUGUAAACAUUUUUACAUUCUCACGAGAUUUCCCAGGCACUCGGUAAUUUAUUGGAUCUAUCAAAUCUUUUAACAAUAGCGAUGACCAGUAUGGGUUGCAAGGCAUCAGAACAAAUUAGAAUGCAAUGCUUAUUGUGCUUUCUUAAUUCUUGAUGUAAAAGCUCGAAGGGAGGUGACAUAACAGAAGCGAGAAUUCUUUGAUUCAGAAAUUCAAAAAUCAUAUUUGCAUUAAAAGUGCAAGUACUGGCAAACAGAAAAUUUUUAAAUCAGCAUGCAAUCAUUCCAAUUUAGAACUUUUUGACAUGCCAAUCCUAUAAGCCUAACAGAGUCUCACCUGAGCUGCCAACUUUUGAAGUUUAAUGCUGUCAGCCUCAUCUCCAUCCUCAUCAUCAAUUCCCAUUUCCUUGUCAGAAACAUCACCAUCAUCAUCCUCAUCAUCAGUUGGCAGGCCAUCCAUAUCAUCAUUAUCUUCAGCCGCCUCCUUUUCUGUUUCUGUGCACAUUGAAAAGGUGGGAAUGAAAUGUAGUACUAAAAUUUGACACCAUCAUACAGUAGUAACCAAAAAGAUUAACUGUCACAAGAAAAUCUCGCAGUAGCAAUAGAAAAAAGGCAGAGUGCCCAGGAUCACCAACCUGCCAAUUGUUCCUUGUAUGCAACUAGAAGUUCCAGAGUGGCUUUAAAAACACGCUCUAAAGCCUCUGCAGGGAACUGGUCAUUGGGAAGAGAAAGCAAUGAUGUCAUACCCAAGCAGCAUACCUUCUUAUCAUGUUCCCUGCAACAUCACACAAAACACUAUCUACAGCAGCCCGGCAAAAGGAAGGGAAAGAACAAGAUGUACAUUUUGAGUUUUUAUGUACAGCUUUUUGAAACUAAUACUACCUUUUAAAGUUAGCUCGCACUCCAUUCUUUUUAGUUUGUUGCAACAUUUGGAACCAAAGGGCAAAAAUAUCCGAAGCAACACCAAGCUUGUGCAGUAUGCUUAGAGUCAAUGAAGCAUUGUAGUAAAGAGCAUCGGCAAUCUACAACGCAUAAAACAAAGUGCAGAUCAAUCUACAGUUGGUAAGAUCCGACAAACAGAUAAACACAUACAUUCACCAGUGCCCGCAAACAAAAUGAUGAUAGAAUAACAAACAUGCACACGCUCACUUGAUAUUUAUAAGCUUACUAUGACACCUAACAUCCAUCCUUCACCUUCUAUGAACACAAAUCCUUUCCCAAAAGACUUGGGACUCUAACCCUGUAAAGAAGAGUUGCUAGAAGAAAGCACCCUCCAGGUCUUCUGAAGAACCAAAAGUGCAACAAUGAAAAUUCCAAGAAAGCAUGAUGCGACCUAUCAUAAUUCCAAAAUAAGCUCUAAUUUCUUGUUCAUUACAACCAAUAAAUAGCUGAACCAUCCAACCAAUGUCACACCCAACAACCCCAACUAACAAGAAAUUUAGACGUGCAGAGCUUACCAAUAUAUUUCUUGCACACAUUUUUUCAAACUGGUGAAAUGUUCAUGGAGGAUUAUGAAAGUAAUAACAAAUAUGUCUAAUACAUAGUAAUUAAUCAGUUAUAAUCUUUUACCAGACCUGCUACUAUAAUAACAAUGAGCAAUGUAUAAAUCAGACCUCUUUUCAAACAUCAGAGACAAAACCAAAUGAAACACAAAUAAUAGAUUCAUACCACUUCAAUCAAGAGGCACUUCAAAUAAGGUUUCUCUGUUCGGCGCAGGCGCUCAACAGCAAUUCUGAUAUAUGGCUCAACCCAGUGAUCUACCUGGCCCCUGCAGUUCUGAAACACCACUUGAAUGAGCUUAGGUGCUGGCUCAAUAUCACCAUCCUCUAAGUUUUUAUCUGCCAUGAUCUGCACAAUGAAUGAACCAAUGACACUUCCGAAGGACCUCAUUGCUUACAAUUAGCCAAAUGCAGCUUUAACCAACUUGUGGUAGAAACAUUCAACUCACAGAUGAAAUCAUAUGCCAAAGGCUCUGUUGGUAGUCUGGUUCUUUGCAUGUGAGGAAAUGUACUGUACUUCUAGACACAUAGUUGUCUAGUGGAACCAAUAUAUCUGCAUAAUGUUAUGAAAUGGGUGCAAGUAAGCUGCUGAAGAGACAAGACCAUCAAAAAGAUAAAAAGUAGAUGUGAAACUCCUGAAUAUAAAAUUUUCACCACAAUGCACCCUCCAGAAAUUAAACAAGGGAACGGAGUUCAUUAGACUCCUUCCAUCAAUUAAUCAAUCCAAGGUAGGAAAGUGAAGGUCAGCAAAAGCUUAACCCCUUUGAUUUCUGUUUUUAUAUUAUUCUUGAAGGUAAUGAAAAAAUCUUAAUGUUUAGAGAAAAAGGGCUUAAAAAAGCCAACCGAAACUGGAAAAGAAAAGAAGAACAUACAGCAUGGCUGCUUAAAAAAGUGCUCUUUUCUCCAAUAAGAUGAGAUGAAUAAUUUAUCAUACAUACUUGGAAAGAAAUCAAUGGCCCAGUCAGCAAGUGCUUCCAUCAUCAAUGGCCAAAGACUCCACAUAUCCAUGGAUAUUGUUGGCGAGAAAAAGGUCAUGUAUGACACAAUCUCCAGUACCUCCUCAAAGACCUCUGCGAAAAAAGAGCAAAAAAGCUUAUCAGUCACAAAGUCUUCCGUGGAUGGAGAAGAUGACUUAUUAGUGAGCUAGCCAACAAUAAUUAGCACCAAAGAUGACCAACAUGAGACAUUUCAAGAUCAAUCAUCACAGAUAAUUGCAUCUAAAUGCUAAUUCCACGUAGUUUAGAUCAAAAGGACAGCAGCAAUUAAAAGGUACCAUAUCAUCUACAAAUGAUAUAAAAUGUGUCCCGUACUCUUUGUUUCUUAAAUUAUCUUCCUUUCCAGCUUUGUGCCUUUCUGCUGCCACAAACUCCGGCAGAUUGAUAAAUUUCAAUGUGAAUGCAGUUCAUAACUAGGAAUUUAGGGGGAAAAAAAAGAACUAUAUAGUUACUUCUUUGUAAGUUCUUUCCCUUUGCCAAGUAUGUUAACACUUUAAAUUCAUGUCUCUAGAAUUUAAGCACCAAUAACUGGUUAAUAUUUGCUAACAGAAAACAAUUCUAAGCAUGACAAUUCAGUCCACAGUACUUUUCCUGAAUUUUCCUGGUCAACAACACAGCAUAUUGGCAUGGAAAUUUAGAACAAAUACCCAAACAGAAGCACAAGUACCUUGUCCAUCAGUUGUCAACAUCCUACGCAUAAUUGGGAGUAAAGUUGGCUCAAUCUGCACAAAAAGGUGAGGAAGGCUGCUGACAGACUCAAGAAUUGUGCUUAUGGCGCGAAGACAACCAACUGCAGCCAAUGCACCAGGGUCAUCAGCCUCAUCAUCUGCUUCAGCAGUGUUCAAACACUUCCAAAAGGCAGCAGCCUGCAAAAUUCAAGUGUGCUUUACAGAAAUAAGAUCACUGACCAAUUAGUUUCACAUACACAAGCAAUCAAGUGUUACCAGAUUCUGGCACAAUCCAAGAGCAUAAGGAGCCAUCUCUUCUCCAAAUUUGUCUACAAUAGUCUCCAAUGUAAAUACAAGAUCUUCAUUUUCUACUUCAUUCAUAAGUUUGAAAAAUUCUGUAAAAAAAGGAUUUGUUGAUAACGUGAAAUAUAAUAGUAAAAAUGACAGCUAAAGAAAGUAAAUGUUAUUUAUAGACCACAUACCAUCUAGUAAUUGUGGAAGAAUUGGUCGAAUCUCAUCCAAAUCUGAACAACAAGAUAAAUUAUCUCCUCGCCAAAAAAAGCAAUACAAGACUUUUAAGAGAAAUAGGAUCUCAGAGAGUUUAACCUUUGCAGGCUUCAACAAAGGAACGCAAAGCAAAAACAGAAUCAACACGAACAGGGAGCUCUGGAUCACGCAUUCCAGCAACAACACUGCGCAGAGCAUUCCGGAAAUUAUUUGGGUCUGAGAAGUUAACAUGAGCAUAUUGUCCAGCAACCCAAGCUGCCUAACAUUCCAAACCAUGAACAAAGCAAUAAGUAAAGAGAUCAAAUAAACAUGCAUAACAAGUCAAACUUACCUACAGACAUAAGAACCAAACAAUUAACAAUUAUUUUCCCCAAGAAUUGUAUUAAUCGAACAAAAGUCUGGACGUCAAAACCUUCAGAUAAAAUUUUUAGUGAAAAACACAUUAGAACUAAAUAUAGUAAUGAAAAUUACAGUUUCUCAAACUAGGCAAAAUGACGUACGCUCAUAAAACGAGGAAAACAUCAAUACAACAGACAUUUUUCACUACUAGGAAGCAUUAUAGAAAGCCAGACAGAAAAAUUAGUUCUUUUUUUUGGGUCUAAUACAAGCAACAUAAAUGAGGAAAGACAUUGUACUAAAAAAAGAUUGUACAUAAUGGCCAUAUGGUCAAUAAAAGGCCAAAAGUAUAAAAACACACCUUAGCUCUAAGAUGACCAGCAGGACUACUGAAUUCAGGGAAAACAUUAGUUCUUUUUUUUUUUGGGUCUAAUACAAGCAACAUAAAUGAGGAAAGACAUUGUACUAAAAAAAGAUUGUACAGAAUGGCCAUAUGGCACAGAAUGGCCAUAUGGCCAAUAAUGGGCCAAAAGAAUAAAAACACACCUUAGCUCUAAGAUGACCAGCAGGACUACUGAAUUCAGGGAAAACAUGCUGUACAAGCAUGCGCUCAAGCUCCGACUUGUACGGUUCAGUUUGUUUAAGCUUAUCGCAUAGAGCUCCAAUAGCAAGAAGGGCACCAUCUUUCUGCCUAAAGGGCUUGUAUUCUGGGACAGCCUCAUUAU